AAACAACAAAGCCACUCAAGCGUACAAACAUACCUUCAACAAAAUGACGACAAACCCACCUAGUCAAACCUGUGAACCAAAUCGUACCAGCAAUAAAAUUGAAAAAAAAACCUAAAAUUUCAACCAAAUUUUAACUCGGCAAAUCCAUACCCAGCCAACCCAUGAUUUCAGUAAGCAAAAUCCAAAAUUCCCAAUGUUUUAAAUUCAAAUUUGUACAAAAAUGGUACAAUUCAAGCUCAUCCCCUCAGCUAAAUUUCCAAAUAACACCCUUGAAUUUCUAUCCCACCAUUUCUCAAGAAUUUGGAAAAUUUUGUUUUCUAUAUAAACCCAUCUUUUUCACUGUUCUUUGGUGGGAUUUUUAGAACUAAAAAAGGAUCUAAACGUUCUCUUCACUCGACUAGGAUUUUGGACUUCAUGACCUCAGCCUUAGAGUUGUGAGAAUUGUAGCUUAAGUGCCAUUUUCAUUUUUGUUUUUGGGACAAGAGAAGUGGGGAAGUCGUCAUCAAUUUGUUGUCCCAUUCACUGCUUUAUAAAAGGUAAAUAUAUCUUUUCUCUUCAUUAUUUUUCUUCGCAUUAGCAGUGAUGCUGGGAGUAUGUGUUGUAGAAGGCUUUACAAAGGCCAUAGGUGUUUUAUUUGUUUUUUUGAGUUGAUAUUUUUAUUUUUGAUUUCACGAUCCUUUGUUCAUCUUUAUGGUGAUUUUAUUUAAUUAUUAAUCAAUAGUCCUAUCUAGUCUGAAAGAUUGUUUUGUUUUAGUUUGAUUCAUCAGUUUUCUUCUAAUCAGAAUAUCCAUGUGUGAAAGGCAGAAACAUUUCCCUUAUGUUUACUUUCAAACUUAUUCAAAGUGUAUAGUUAGAUGACCUCACCUUGAACCUAUUUUUUGGGAAGUUUGGAUAUGUCUUGAAAUGAGAGGGCGAUAAUAUUAUACAAGUUAUUUGUUAGAGACUUCUGAUAAGUUAAUGCUCAUGCUUUGCUGAUCGCGUGCUUCACUUAAAACUAUAUGGAUUAUGUGAUUAUGAAGGCAUGUCAAUUUAUUUGUAAAACACUUUUUCACAUAAUUUCUUCCCAAAUGCAAGUCAUUUAUUUUCUUCUUCUCGUGCUUGAAAAUACACUAUGCUUUUUUCAUUGUGCCUUAUCAGAUUGAUUUUUAAAGCAAUUUGGGUUAAGUUAGAUUCAGGUAUUCUAGUUGUCAACUUAGUUGUUGUUUUAAAUUUUAAAACUCCUUUCGUUUGAUACAAUGUUGAAAGUUUUAGUUGUUUCUUUUUUUUCAUUUCAAUAAUGUUUAAAUUUAUCAUUUCUUUUCAAAAGUUACUCAAAGUAGUUUCUUGUCACUGAUAAAUUUGUUUGGGUAAUAUGAAAUAUCCCAUAAUGGAUCUCUCCUGGUCUUGCUUGUGUUUCAACAGAGAUACCAUGAUUCCUGAAUUUGAAUUGGUCAAGGAUCACAGUUGCGCGGAAUAAUCCAAAUUUAAAAAGAGCGCUAAGUCCUAUUUUGGUAAGUUAUUCUCCUAGCUUAUUAGGUACUUGUAUUGAGUAGCAUUCUUUGCUGACUGAUAAUUACUUGAGUCAAUUAGUUGUGUUGUUUGGCCCAUUCUAUAAGCUCUACAUGUUCACUUAGAUAAAUUUGACGUCCCAAAAUGUUUAAUUCAAUUUUAUUUGAUAGCUAAUUCUUAUAUUCUUUUUUGAUACAUAUGAAUUCAUGUGAGUCCAUGUGGACCCCAUUUCCCAUAUUUUCUUAGGACAAGUCCCUUUCCUAUCAAGUCAAGCCUCCUCAAAGGCCAAAAAAUGAACAAAAGUCGUGAAUAAACGGACAGGUAUACACUGAUAUACAAAGAUAUACAAUAGUAUAGGCAACAAAAGGGCUAAUAUAUAGUUAGUGUACAAAUGAUAUAGACAAAUGGAAAUGGACUUAGAGUCCAUAUCUUUGCAAGGCCCAAAUCUCGGCAAAUUCAACAAUUGGAUAACAAGGGGCCCAAUCUCAUCUUUUCUCCAUUUAUUUUCUUGAAUUAAUUCAAUUAUUUGUUUGUAUAUUUAAUUUAAUUUAGAUGAAUCAUUGGGGAGCAAGUAAUAUUGAAAUUAUUCAUUUAUGAUAGUUAUUUAAUAUUUUUAAUUUUUGAUUCACUCCAUUAGGAAAACUUAAGAUCGAAGAAUUACUUGGGGAUAUUUUUUACAUCCCUUCUUAGUUAUUAAGUAGCUUAAAUCCAUAUUAAGAAAUUGAAUUAAUUAUUUAACUCAAAUUCUUAAUUCAGAUAAAAUUAUUAAAGUUAAAAUUAUAUUGGAACUUGGAGAUUUAGUUUAUUCCAUUACUUUGAAAUAAAAUGAAUGGACAAGUUUUAAUAAAUUUUAUUCACUUUCAAAUGACAUUAUGAAUAAAUUCAAGAAUUCAUAAAAUUAAUUUAAUAUUUUUCAAGUAACUUAAGAAACUUUCAAAAUUAGCCAAAGAAAUUUAAUCCAUCGGAAACCACAUUUUUUUAAUUUUUUAAAGUGCCUAACACCUUCUUUCGAAAUUACAUAAAUGCUUACCUAAACUCUAGUUAUUUUAUUAAAGGUUCUCUUUAAAAAUUUACCUUUGUUAAAUGGUUUUCUGAAUUUUUCUAAAAAUUAAGCGGCGACUCUAAAUUAUUUUUUUCCAAAAUAAAAUCUGUCGGACUUUCUUUUUCUUUUUUCCAAGAAGUUAUGGAACAUUUUUGAAUUUUCAAAAAUGGAUCAUAAUAGUGGCUUAUUUAUUUUAGUAGUGCAUGGUGUAAAUCUGUAUAGAUAUUUUCUCCCUAUGGGUAUAGCAUUGGGUUUGAGUCCCAUUUAUCGUGUCAUAUUAGCCUUUUUUUGGAUGUUCAUUUUGGUCCAACCUAUUCAUUAUAUUGAUGUUGAUAUCUCUUUUUCUACUAUUGUCAUUGCUUUUAUAUUGAUGUUAUUACUUGAGGGUAUUGAUCAUUGUUGGGUAGCUGUAUAGACUAGCGUUAUCUAGCUAGAAUUUCAUUUCUUUGCGAUUCUUAUUCAGUGGCUUGAGUAGCUAUAACUCGAUUUGAUGAUUUCUUUUCCUAUAGUGAAGUGAGGUUGAUAUUUUUCUCUCUUGGUUAGAUUUGUUUAAUUGAUUCACAAAUGUACUAUGAUAUGAAAGGUAAGUUGACCUUCUGUGGUUUUGUAUGGUUAUAGAGUUAGCAAUUUAGCCAUAUUUAUCAUUCUUGAGUUUGAGACACUUAGAUUUGUCUCCUAUGUGCGAAGGUUCUCGCUUUAGAUAUCCCUUACUAUAUAGCCCAGUUGUGAGCUUUACCAGUUUUAGGUCAGUUCUACAUUUAUGGCUAUUUCUUUACCCGAUAGCAGUUGGAUUUUGAUAUUGAUAUGUGCUGCAUUCAUCUUUUAGAUAUGCAUGAAAUAAUGUAAAUGAGUUAUUUUAAAACCAAAUUGAUGUGGUAUAAUCCACGAUUUUGAUUGUGGGCUCGAGGACCAAGCAUGUUUUGGGUCAAAAAUUAACCGUGGGUUCUCAGCCAUUUGUUAGGUUCAUCUCCUAAUGAUGGUUUACCCUUAUUUUUGGUGUGUAUUUAUAUGCUCCAUUCUUGUCAUGAUGUGAUUCAGUUCUAAAGUAGAGUUAGAGAGUUGAAGGCAGACUUUCCUGUGAUUGCUUAUUGAGUUGAUUGUUCAUUUUUGGGUUGGUGGCAUUGGUGCUUAGAUUUUCAGAUGAUGUACUCAGCAGGAGUAGUAUUCUUGAGUUUGGUUUAGUAUUUUUUUAUUCUCUGUUAAUGGGAAAUCUUGGAGCAGAUCGUUCAAUGAUGAGUAGUUAUGUCUUGAUCUUAUGGGUUCCAGUUUUGGUUGCCAUCAGGACUAGUUGUAGCAUUGACAUGGAUUUUAUACCUUGGUUAUCUCUAUUAGUGAGCCCAUAUAGCACGCUAUGAGCAUAUAUUAUUUUUCGUAUAGACUUUUAAUGGACCAAUUUUAGUUCUUCAAGUUCUCUGUGAUUAGAUUGCAUGGACAUGACUCAAGUGACUUUCCUUUUGGUUUGGAGUAAAUGGCAAGCAUGGAUUAGUAAGAGAAGUCAUGUUUAUAUUUGGAGUUGGUUGUAUGAUUCUUGCCUUGAUUUGGUUUUUUCUUGGAUAAGCCUUAGAUUGAUUUGUGUUGGUGUCGAGAUGGUAUUAGUGUGUUGUAGUUCAGAUUUGCAUGCAUCAUCCUUUUUCUAUUCAGUUGGAGUCCAGUUUGUGGUUGAAGUUAAUUUUUUACUAUUUAGAAGCAAAGUAAAAGAAAUGGUUGAAAAAGGAAUACCUGUGGCAAAAUCUCUUUGAAAUGUUCUCUCUUUGGGGAGAGUAUCUGAGAAAUCAUGCUCGGAGCAUGCGUGCCCAGUACCUCAUCCUUUGGAGAUUUUGAGAUCCUUCUAUGCAUUGACUUUUGGGGACGAAAGUUCUUUUAGUAUGGGAUAUUGUAAUGACUCUUCAGUUAAUUUUUCAUAUUUUUCUUAUUUUCAUCGUUAGAGCUUUCCUAAAGCUGCACUAAGUCAUUUAUGAAAUGUUGGGAUUGACAAUUUGGUUAUCGACCAUUUCUUUUGUUUUUUAGUGCUAAUUCCCAAUUUUGAAGUCUUUACUGGAUCCAAAUGUCCACCGAGAAAAACAUCAGUAAAACAAUCUUGUAUAGAAAUUCUGUCUGGCCUAGCAGCUUUGGAAUAUCGAUUUUAGGAUAGGUAUACCGUUGGUUCAGGUCUCGAGGAACCCAAGUCCAUUUCGAUCUAUUGGUCAAAAAGUUGGAAAUUUGUGUAUGAGACCCAUAUUUGAUCGAAAUAACCUCAGAUGGAAAAUCCAACUUUUCCAUUGCAUCUGAAAUAUCAAAAUUAGAAUGGUUACAUAGUUUAUUUACGUAUGACAAAUUCCAAAUAAAUCGCGAGGUACUGCCGAAAACAUGGAAAAUUUUUGAAGUUUUAGCUAUCAGUUGUACUGUCAUUAAGUAGUGCAAUUGCACAAGGUAGGAUGACGAUCGCCAUACCUACUCCUACAACCAAGUAUUGCGAUUGCACACAUGGGUAUGUGAUUGCCAUACCUGAUUACCUGGUAUGGGUAUUAAAUAAUCCCUUAGGCUGCGUUUUUGCCAUUUUGAACACAUUCUUGAGAGCCAAGAGCCCUAAAAGAAUAUGCUAACUUAAAAUUGAGUCUUAGGGGUGACUUGGGAGUUUGAUUAACAUUUAUUUUCAUGGAUAUGUGCAGAUUUAAGGUAAGAUUUCAUUCCUUUCUUGGUGAAAUUCUUGGUUCUUGACCCGAAACCUCAAUUAGCUUAAUGACUUAAUUUUAGCCCUAAAUUAGCUUGUUUUACACCCAUUUCUUAGGGGUUAUGAUUCCUUGAUCCUGUAUGAACAUUGGGUUGACCUCAAAAAUGCAAUUUCCAUAAGUAGGACCCACUUGGGGUUUCUAUUGUUAUUUUUUGACAUAAAAUAUAAUGGUGAUAUUUGGGUAUCAUUAUUCUCGUAUUGAUGAGUAGAUUAUGAUUUUAAUAGAGUUACCACAUUUUAAGAUCGUGAAGUAAAGUCGGACACUUGGUUAAUGAUUUAAGAAUUUGUGGUUUGUCUUUGAGGUAGGAUUUUGUCUACUCUUCUUCAUAAGAUGAUGCAUGUUAUAUAUUCCAUGUGAAUGUGAAUGUUAUGUUUUAUUAUGGGUAGGAUAACUUAGUCUUGAUUAUUGAAGUUUAGGGAUUAGAUGAGGCUUUAGGGAUUAAAUCCGCCUCACAAACCUUAAACCACCCAAUCGGAGACCUGCACUUUCUACCAUACAAGGCUUCAAACGGAGCCAUAGCCAUGCUAGAGUGGUAGCUAUUAUUAUAAACAAACUCUAAAAGUUUUAAGUACUGAUCCCAAUUACCACCAUACUCAAUCAUGCAAGCACAAAGAAUAUCCUCCAACGUCUGAAUAGUCAUGUCUGCUUUCCUAUAUAACUGCGGGUGAAAAGCAGUACUAAGACUCACCUCGGUCCCCAAACCUUUCAGAGACAACUACCAAAAGUGAGAUGAAAACUGUGUACCCCAAUCUAAGAUAAUAGAAAUAGGUACCCCAUGCAAUUUUACAAUCUCUUAGAGGUAUAACCUCGCAAACACAUUAGCCAAGAAUUUAGUCCUUAAUGGCAAAAAGUGAGCAUAAUUUGUCAUCCGAUUCAUGAUGACCAAAACCAAAUCAAACUAAUAUAGAGACCGAGGAAGACCGAUAAUGACAUCCAUGUUGAUCACUUGCCACUUCCACUCUGGAAAGACAAUUUGUUGAUACAAUCCUCCAGGCCUUAUGUGCUUAAUUUUUACUUGCUAGCACACCAUGUACUUGGCCAUAAAAUUUCCACAUCCUUCAUCAUAUUGUACCACUAAUACCUCUCCUUAAGGUCAUGAUACAUUUUUAUCGAACUAGGAUGAAUAACAUAAUACGACUCAUAUGCCUCGACCAAGAUACUCUCUCGCAAACCAUCUACAUCAGGAACACAUAACCUCCCUUAGUACUGCAAGGUACCAUCACCACAAAUCGCAAAUGCCAUCACCUUUUUCCCACCUAUAUCACCUUUGAUCCUCAUCAAGAUAGGAUCCAACACUUGUUUUUCCUUUAUCCCCACACCAAGAGAUGACUAUGCCACCUCUUGCACAAAUACACCACCAUCCUCAAAGUCUAAAAACUGAACCUUAAUGUUAGCCAAAUAGUGAAUAUCUUUCACCAACUCCUGCUUCCUUCUAUCCAUAUGAGAUAGAAUCCCCAUGGAUAACCUACUAAAAGCAUCAAUAACUACGUUAGCUUUACCUGGAUAGUAGUAAAGACUCAUGUUAUAGUCCUUGAGCAGCAUAAGUCAUCUCCUUUCCUGAGGUUUAGAUCUUUCUGAGUAAAUACAUAUUGUAGGAUCUUAUGACUAGAAAAUAUAUCCACAUACACUCCAUACUAAUAGAGACACCAGAUUUUCAAUACGAAUACCACAAGGAACAUCUCCAAGUCACGAGUCUGAUAAUUCUUCCCAUGCACCUUCAACUAUCUGGAGGCAUAAGUUAUUACCUUGCCAUGCAGCAUCAAAAUAGAACCAAGCCCCAGAUUGGACGCACCACAAUAGAUCACAAAUCCAUCUGUGCCUUUGGAAAAGGUCAAGACUAUAGCUGAAGUCAGCUUAUCCUUCAGCUUCUAAAAACUACCCUCACAUGAAUCACACCACAAGAACUUUACCUUCUUUUGUGUCAGCUUAGUCAACGAGGCAGCUAUAAAAGAGAAAAUUUCCACAAACCUCUUGUAAUAACCAGCUAAACCCAAGAAACAUAAAAUAUAGAUUGGAGUUAUGGGUCUAGGCUAUUUCUUCGCCACUGUAAAUUUCUGCGGAUCCACCAUGAUCCCUUUACUAGAAAUAACAUGACCUAGAACAGUGAUAGCGUUUAACUGGAAUUCACAUUUCAAAAAUUUUGCGUACAACUCUUGCUCUUUCAGGGUCUGUAACACAAUAUGGAGGUGAUUGGCAUGAUCGACCUCGCUCAUAGAGUACACCAGAAUAUCAUCUAUGAUACAAUGGCAAAUAAAUAUAGAAACUAAUGGAAGACCCUAUUUAUCAAAUCCAUGAAUGUCUUCAAGGUAUUGGUCAAUCAAAAAGACCUAACCAGGAACUCAAAAUGCCCAUAUCGAGUAUGGAAGGCAGUUUUAGGGGUAUUUAUCUCCUUAAUCUUUAAAUGAUGAUACUAGAUUAAAAGAUCAAUUUUGGAGGAUAACUUAGCACCCUGCAACAAAUCAAUCAAAUUAUCUAUCCUUUGAAGCAGGUCUUAUUCUUUACCAUCACCUGAUUCAACUGAUGGUAAUCAAUACACCUUUGAAGGGAACCAUCCUUAUUACACAUGAAUAACACUGGUGCACCCCAUAGGACAUACUAAGAUGGAUGAAACUCUGGUCUAAAAGAUCCUUGAGUAGCUCCUUAAUCUCCUUCAAAUCAUGUAAUACCUAUGCUUAUUCUUAGCUAGAAAUUAUCUUAAGGAAACUAGUAAUUGCUUUGAAAUACAGAUCUAUUUUUGUACCCAUGGUAUUCUUAAGAUUUAUACUUUUUAUCACGUGGGAAAUUAUGUUAGCUUUCUAACGAUACCAAUUUUGUCCAAAUCCGAUACUAGACGAGGAAGUUAUGGAUGUUUUACUCAGAACUAACGAAAACGCCUAGGUGCGACGUCCAAGUUGACGGACCACCAAACAAGUGAUGGACCACCACUUUAACCAUCACAACCAAGGCAGUCGGGCCACGUUCUGGAUAAGGAUUGACAGACGAUUUGAUGGACCGUCAUCCAGGUCAUCAACUCUUAUCCAGUGAACCCCAUUUUUGGUCCACGUAUGAUGGACCAUCAAGUUCCUGACGGACCAUCAGCUGGGUCUUCACACACCACAUUCAGUUUACUUCCAAGACAUUUUAACAGGGGUAUUUUGGUCACUUACCACUCGCCUAUAUAUAUACCCAGAUGAGUCUGAAUUCAGCCAUUUGCUUAUUAUUAUUUCACAAACAAAAACUAAGGUUUCUCUCUAAAUUUAAUCUCCAAGAACAAGACCCAAUCUUCUUCAUAAAAAUCAAAGGAUUUCAAAUCCUUCAAGUUUAGAAACAUCAAGAACUUUGAGUCAGGUAUACGUAGUGUUCAUCUAUGGAUCCUUUCCAUUCAUAGAGCUCAAGAACCAUGUUUUAAAUAUUAUUUUGUGAUUAUCUUGUUGUGAUAUGAGCAUGUACAUGUUGAUGAUUGUUUUUUAAGUUUCAAGAUGAUAUCUAAAGGUGUUUUCAUGAAGUAUAUGUGUUUGUUAGUUAAAACCCAUGAUCCUUAUGUGGCUUAAUAUGGUGAAAUUCAUGAACACGCUUAAGCUAAAAGAAUGCAUGUAAAGUGUUUGAUAAUAUGCCUAGGAUGAUAGAAUUCAUGUCCCAUGAUUUAAUAGUGCUUAAAUGACAAGUCCAUGCUCUAUGCUUUAUGAUUUUCCAUGAAUUCCAUUUGAGUGAUAUGCAUUGUUGUUGUGAUAUGGAUUGACCAUGAUAUUGAAGCUAUGAAAGUAUAUACAUGUUGUAUGAAUUUCCCUUCCAUGUAUAAGAUGUUGAUAAUUAUGCUUAGUGUGAAAUCCCCUACUCAUGAUAUGGUAAAUUGUGGACUCUACUCUUAUGAUCAAGUCAUGUGUGUCAGUUUACUUCCAUUAAGUUCGAGGGGUACUUGUACCCAAAAAAUAUAGCUGUAUGCAUAGAUCCAUGUCAUAUUAUCAUGAUAGUCUCAGUCAAGCCAUGAUCUAUAGAAAUCAAUCGUGCAUGUGACUCAGGAAACCUCAAAAAUCUCAUGAUCUCAGUUAAUUCUCAAAUAGUAGCACUAAUCUGUUAGUCAACGAAAGUCAGUUACUCAGUCCAUGUACCGUUAGUUAAAUCACGUUCAGUCUCUUCAGAUGGGAGUAGGAGUUAGCACCAAGUGAACCCAAGUAUGGGAACUCACCUGCCAAUUUAGGGUGUGAUUCUUUGUAAUCAUCCUUGUGUUCCAGAACUAUGUAGCUAGCGUAGGUUGAGACAUCUUAACUUAUCAAAUUAGGGUUGAUGAAAUGGCUUAAUUUGUAAGUUUAAGAGUUCCCACCAUUCUUAUUUUGAGUACUUUCUAGCUAAGGGUUACUCACAGUUGUCCUUACUAGUGGCGCGGUAUUGACACCCUUCCAGUCGGGGCAGAGAUUGGACCCCAACAUAGCUAUAUACGUUAUUGGGGCAUAUCGAUCAAAUAACUACCUCCUAUAGUUUCAGUCCCAGUCUCAGUAAAAGAACUCAGAUAGUUCUUCAGAUUUUAGUAUAUCAAAACGGUCAGAUACAAUUAAUUCAGUUACAGAAUGGAACACAGAUAGUUCCAUUAGAUUCAGGACUGUUAGACACCGUCAUCCAUGUUAUCAGAAUUUUAGUAUUUAUCAUGCUAGAUAUCAGUAGAUCAUGUAUUAGUGUCCAGAUCUAGAUAUCACGUAAUCACGAUCUCAGUUACUAUGUAUGCAUGUUUGUACUCUUAGGUUCAUAUCAGUCAGUCAGUUAGAAUCGUUUAUGCGUGUAAUCCCUUUUGCAUUUAUCCUACCUCACUCGUAUACUCAGUACUCCCAGUUGUACUGACGCAUCGGUGCUAUGGUUCUUUAUUUCACGUUACACCAUAGGUUCACAAAUACAAGCUCCAGAUUAGUAGUAGAAGUAACAUUCUAGUCGCAGAGUUGCAGUGAGUCCUCAUCCAUUCGAGGAUGAUAUUAUAUACUUCAAUUAUUGUUUUAGUUUAGUUUUACUAGACGGAGUUAGUUGGAGACAUGUUCCUUCAACUCCUUACUCAGAAAGUACUUAGAGGCUUUUAUAUUUAGCUUAAAUUUGAUUCAAAUUUCAGUUGUUUUGGGUAUUCGUUACCCCAUAUGGAUGUUAUGAUUUGUCAGAUAUUUUAUGUAGUUGAACCUUAUGGGCUAUUGUUCAUGUUUUUUAUAUUAUUAUGUCAUAUAUUGCAGUAUACAGGUACAGAUAUCAGUCAUGAGUUAGCUUAUAGUCCCUUAGGAUCAUGAGUACCGUGUAGCAAUCCAGUUAAAAAAACUAGGGUAUUACAAACUUGGUAUUAGAGCCUAAGGUUCAAUAGAGUCCUAGGAAGUCUGAAAGCCGCAUAUAGUAGAGUCUUGUGCAUGGGUAUGUUGCGCGCCACAUUUAUGUGUAAGAGGCUAUAAUGUUUUAGGAAUAGUUUCCCUUCUUUUGGUAUUCAUAUCGUGCUAGUGAGCAUAAUCUCAAGUUAAACUCUCAGUCUAAUCCGUUCUUCUCCUAUUUCAGAAUAUACCUCAAAUGAGAAGAAACGAGCCAGCUCCUUAGCCCGAAGAUCCUUUGGACGAACAUGUUUCUCAUACGGAGUUUAGGGCCUCAUUCACCAUACUUGCUCAAUCUAUGGCUGCCCAAAAUGAAUGGCCACCAGUUAUUCCGGCCAAUCUAGUGGCCAACUUAGCCGCAGCUAGGAUUCGGGACUUUAUCUGAAUGAACCCUCCAUCUUUCUUUGGGUAUAAAUUUGAUGAAGACCCUCAGGAAUUCAUUGACCAAUUCCAGAAGGUCAUAGACAUCAUGGGAGUUACUUCUUGCCAGAGUGCUGAGUUAGCUGUAUACAAGUUAAAGAAUAUUGCUCACACUUGGUACAAACAGCGGAAGUCUAAGAGGUUAGAGGAUACAGGUCCUAUAGAGUGGGAGGAAUUUGUCAUGACUUUUUUAGAUAGAUUCUUUCCCCAAGAGCUGAAGGAGGCAAAAGUUCUAGAGUUCAUCAACCUCAGGCAGGGAAAUAUUACAGUUAAGGAGUAUUCUAUCUGAUUUACUCAGCUGGCAAGAUAUGCCCCUAAUGUGGUUGCAGACUACAAGGCUAAGAUGAGCAAGUUUGUGUCAGGGGUGAAUGAUAGCAUGGUAAAUGAGUGUAGGUCUACGAUACUGAACAGUGAUAUGACUUUAGCCAGGCUCAUGACUGAUGCUCAAUAAAUAGUGGAGCAGAAGAUUAGGACUAGGGAGAGGCAGAACAAGAGAUCAAGGUCAGGCAGUUUCAGUUUUGCUAAACCAAAAUUAGAAGGAGGAAAUUGUUCACAGUUUUAUCCUAAGACAGUAAUUCUAGAUCUUUCCUCCGCCAUUGCCAUAGUGCCAAAAUUCAAAGAUGGUAGUAGAGGUCGAGCAACAGGCUCUAUGUCUUAGGGUAGUGCCAACAGUGCCCGAACUAAUCCCCUAUGUCAGACUUAUGGUAAGAACCACAAGGGUACCUGUAGAGCUGGUAGUGAUGUGUGUUUCGGUUGUGGUAACCCAGUUCACAGGAUUAGAGAAUGUCCGCAGUUAGGUCUACAGGGUCAGCAGAUUUGCUCCACAGCCCAAUUCGGUCAUCCAAAUUGGCAGAGUGCCGCCUCCAGUGCUACUAGUGGGCAACGCCUAAAUAGACUCUAUGCUCUUCAAACCCGAGAAGAUCAGGAAAAUUCUCUUGAUGUCGUUACUGGUAUGUUACAGAUUUUCCAUGUUCAUGUUUACACUUUGCUAGAUCCAGGUGCAUCCUUAUUUUUUGUUACUCCUUAUAUAGCAGGCGAUUUCGGAAUUAGUCCUAAAAUUUUGGCAGAUCCCUUUUAAGUCUCUACCCUAGUGGGUAAAACCAUCAUAGCUCGACGGGUAUACAGAAACUGCCCGGUUAUGAUAUUUUAGAAAACCAUAUCAGUAGUUUUAGUCGAGUUAGAGAUGACUGAUUUUGAAGUCAUUCUCAGCAUGGAUUGNNNNNNNNNNNNNNNNNNNNNNNNNNNNNNNNNNNNNNNNNNNNNNNNNNNNNNNNNNNNNNNNNNNNNNNNNNNNNACAGUUGACAGUAGAACUAGGGUAGUUCAGUUUCACUUCCUGAAUGAGCCUAUCAUAGAGUGAAAGGGUAACACUUCAUCUUUCAGGGGUUAGCUUGUUUCCUACCUUUAGGCAAGGAAAAUGAUUUCUAAGGGGUGUGUGUAUCAUCUCUUGCAUGUUAAAGAUUCCAAUUCUGAAUCCCCUAGUUUUGAAUCAGUCCCAUUUGUAAAUGAGUAUUCAGACGUGUUUCCCAAAGAUCUUCCAGGUAUUCCUUCUGAAAGGGAAAUAGACUUCGGCAUUGAUCUUCUUCGAGAUACUUAACCUAUUCUAUUCCUCCAUACAGAAUGGCACUAGCAGAACUCAAGGAACUGAAAGAUCAAUUGAUGGAUCUCUUAGGUAAGGGAUUCAUCAGGCCCAUUGUAUCCCUAUGGGGUGCACCAGUUUUAUUCGUGCAAAAAAAAGACGGCUCUCUCAGGAUGUGUAUUGACUACCAUCAUCUCAACAAAGUUAUAGUAAAGAACAAGUAUCCUCUUCCUAGAAUAGAUGAAUUGUUUGACCAGCUUCAGGUUGCCAGUUAUUUCUCCAAAAUAGACCUCAGAUCAGGCUACCAUCAGCUCAAAGUUAGAGAAUGUGACAUCCCGAAGACUGCCUUCCGUACUCGGUAUGGUCACUUUGAGUUUCUAGUUAUGUCCUUUGGUCUUACCAAUGCUCCAUCCGCUUUCAUGGACUUGAUAAAUGGUGUUUUCAAGCAGUACUUGGACAUGUUCGUCAUAGUUUUCAUAGAUGAUAUCCUAGUCUAUUCCCGCACAGAGCUUGAUCAUUCAGACCAUCUCAAGAUUGUUCUUCAGACUCUCAGAGAUCACCAGCUAUUCGUCAAAUUCAGUAAGUUCGAGUUUUGGAUAAUAUUAGUAGCAUUCGUUGGACAUAUUAUUUUUGGAAAUGGAAUUAGACUAGAUCUUCAGAAGACUGAUGCGAUAAGAACCUGGCCUCACCCCAUCUCUCCAUCAGAUAUUAGGAUUUUCUUGGGAUUGGCUGGCUAUUACAGGUGCUUUGUCGAGGUAUUUUCUUUUAUUGCAUCCCCCAUGUCCAGAUUGACUCAGAAGAAGGUCAAGUUUCAGUGGUCAGAUCCUUGUGAGAAGAGUUUUCAAGAGUUGAAGACUAAACUCACCUCAGCUACAGUUCUAGCUUUUCUAGAUGGUUCAGAUGGGUUCGUGGUAUGUUGUGAUGCGUCCAGAUUGGGUUUAGGUUAUGUCCUCAUGCAUCAUGGUAAGGUCAUAUCCUACUCCUCCAGACAGUUAAAUCCCCAUGAGAAGAAUUAUUCUACUCAUGAUCUUGAGUUAGCCACCGUAGUAUUUGCCUUAAAGAUUUGGAGGCAGUAUCUAUACGGAGUUCAUAUAGAUGUCAUCACGGAUCAUAAGAGUCUCCAGUAUGUCUUUUCUCUGUAAGAUCUUAAUCUUCAUCAGAGAAGGUGGUUAGAGCUUUUGAAAGAUUAUGACAUGAGUGUCCUUUACCAUCCGGGCAUGGCCAACGAUGUGGACGAUGCUCUCAGUAGACUCUCCAUGGGUAGUGUUUAUCACAUCGAGGACAAUAAGAAGAAGAUAACUUAGGAAAUCCAUCAGCUCUCCAGAAUAAGGGUUCUCUUAGUCGAUUCUUAGGAGGGUAGUGUAUAUAUUUAGAGUAGUUCAGAGUCAUCUCUAGUUUCUGAGGUGAAAGAAAAGCAAGACAGGGAUCCUAUCCUUGUCAAGCUCAAAGAGUUAGUUCAAAAUCAGAGAGUAGAGUUUUUCUCCCAAGGGGGAAAUGGGGUUCUUCAUUGUCAGGGUUGUUUGUGCGUUCUAGGUGUAGAUGACUUAAAGUAGUGGAUUCUUACAGAAGAUCAUGGUGCGCGAUACUCUAUUCAUCUAGGGGCCACUAAGAUGUACCGCGACCUGUGGGAAAUCUAUUGAUGGAGUGGGAUGAAGAGAGAUGUUGCAGAGUUUGUGGCUAAGUGCUCUAUAUGUUAGCAAGUUAAGAUAGAGCAUAAGAAGCCUAGUGGACCCAUGCAGGAGUUCACCAUUCCUACUUGGAAGUGGGAAUAAGUGAACAUGGACUUAGUGAUGGGUUUGCCUCGAACUUGUCAUCAGUACGAUUCAGUUUGGGUUAUUAUAGACAGGAUGACCAAGUCAGCUCAUUUCCUUCCAGUUCAUAUCUCUUAUUCAACCGAGGAUUACACCAAAGUUAAACUAACCAUUCACAUAUCUUAAUUUAAAAGGUAGAAAUACAAGGUUUUACUACUUAAUUCCACAUCCUAAAGUAACAGAUGUUAUAACAUACUGAAAAAUAAGACACAAAAAUUUACUAGAAUAGGGUCCUAACCUGAUAAAUAAGGUGUGGUGUAUAUAUCAAAAGGUAAGCAAACUACAAGUAUUUUUCUAAAACUAGCAUAAUAGUACACAAUUCUACAAAUAAACUCAAUCUAAUGGUUGGGUAAGCCAAGCUUACCCAAACGCCAAAGCUAAAGACCUUUCCAAAAAGCCUCCAAAUAGUGUUUCGGUAGAACCCGAGUUGGAUAAAUAUAGCAACCUUUUAAGUAAAGUUACAGGAAGUAGAAUAUUUAAAUAUAAAAAUGUUAAGUGAAUUUGAUAUUUAUAUAUGAAAAUAUAUAUUAACACUAAUGGCAGAAUAACUUGGCACUUAAUAUGUUAGCAUGAUUACAUCUCUUAGUGUGGUGUCAUUAUACAUAUAUUCCACAUGAAGGGGUGAGGCAAUACUAUCCCUGCCCUCCGUUAAAUUAGCACUCAUGUAUUGCAUAGGUUCGUGGUAAAAUAAUUACAAUAUUUUUAAUAUACCAUAAUUAAUAGAAUUACUUCUAAUAAAACCUCUAUUAUAUAAUAAUAUUUUAACAUUUGAAGAUUUAUUAUCUCCUCUUAAAAUGUUAAUAGACUAUAAAAGUAAUCAUAAAGUAAUAUAGAUAUAUCAUAACAAAAGAAUUUUUUACACAAGUUAAAAAUAUUUUAGAAGGGUAAUAAAUUAUACUUCUACCAAAUGCCAAUUUAAAUUAAGUAUUUGACAAUAUAUUUGGUAUUACUAAAAUAUCCAAAUGAACCACCUGAAACUGAAUUAUCAGUCCUACAAGUCAUAAAUAAAUUGGGAUAGUUGCAGAAAAGCUCUAGACCGUGAGGUCAAUACAACAUCCACUACUAAAAGGGCUUUCAUUCGUGAAAGUAAAGGAUAAGGAAAUACAUGAAGGCUCAAAUAGGUAGGGAUACUGGGUGUACAUAUCACACUCGGUAUCCCAAGUAUCCUCUUCCACUAGACGGUGAGGCCAAUAAACCUUAACCACUGAAAUAACCCUAGAGCAUAGUCAUCUGAUAUCUAUUGUCAAAAUAGACAUUGGCUUUUCGACAAAUGCCAACCUCUCGUCCUUCUGAAUCGAGUCUAACUUAAUUAUGUGUGAUUCAUCUAAAAUAUACUAUUGAAACAUAGAUACAUGGAACACCAAGUGAAGGGAUGAGUAUGUAGGAGGUAAUGCCAACACAUAUACUACCUCUCCCACUAUCUUCAUGAUCUCAAAGGGACUAAUAUAUCUCUGGUAAAGGUUGCACCUAUUCCCAAACCUUAUCACUCUCUUUAUGGGUGAUACUCAUAGGAAGAACCAAUCAAAAACUCUAAAUCUUUUUGGACGAUGUGUUCGGUCAUAAUUCUUUAUCCACUUUGAGCUGCUAAAACCUUGCCCUGAAUCAUACGAGCUCAAUCAAAUGAGUUAUGAAGCAAAUCAGUGGCAUGGGAUCUAGCCUCCAAAGUCUCCAACCACCCAAUAGGAGAUCAACAUCAUCUACCAUAUAAUGCCUCAAAUGAGGCCAUCUAAAUACUUAAAUGAAAGCUGUUAUUAUAUGCAAACUCUGCCAAAGGUAGAAACUGGUCCCACUAACCCCCAAAAUUCAACACAUAAGUGCAGAGCAUGUCCUCCAAUACCUGAAUAGUCCUUUUUAAUUUCUUACCAGUCUGAGGGUGAAAUACGGUGCUAAGGUUAACCUGGGUAACCAACUUCUCCUAAAAUAUCCUCUAGAAGCUAGAUAUGAACUGAGAGCCUCCGUAUGAAAUAAUGGACAUAUGUACCCUAUAUAGUCAUACCACCUUCCUAAAAUAAAUAUGAGCUAACCUAUCGGCAUUGUAGGAAACUUGAAUGGGGAUAAAAUAUUAACACUUGGUAAAUUUAUCAAAGAUGACCUAAAUGCUACUGAAACCACAAGAAGUGCAAGAAAAUCUUCUUUCAAAAUCCAUAGUAACUUGCUCCCACUUCUACUCAAGAAUGGGUACCUGCUGAAGCAAUCCACUAGGUCUUUGAUGCUUAGCCUUUACCUACUGACACAAAGGUAAUAAGCCACAAACCCAACUAUAUAUCUCUACAUACCACUCCAGCAGUAAUAUUGCCUCAAAUCUUAAUACAUCUUAAUGAUCCCUAGGUGACUAGAGUAUCUGGAGCUAUGAGCCUCACCAAGAAUCAACUGAAUCAAAUCUCCAACCCUUAGAACUCAAAUUCAACCAUCAAACCUCUGGAAAAACUCAGAAUCUAGGGUAGUCCUCCGAGACUCACCUCUCAACACCUAUUAUCAAAUGCUACAAAUUUUGUAGAACUGAACUGAGUUCUAUUCUGAAGACUGAAACAAAGACUGUGGGAGGUAUUCAUCUGAUCGACAUGUCCCUCUCUGAAUGAAUUGGGGUCUAACCUAUAACCCCAGUUGAAAGGGUGUCAUUACCGUACCACGAGUAAAGACAAAUUAAGUCACCCUCAUCUGGCAGGUGCUCUGAAUGUGAAUGGUUGUACCCUUAACUGGCAAGUAGGACACCUCAUCAACCCUCAACUGGUAGGUUGAUGUCUCAACCUAUGCUGGCUACAUAGUUCUGGGACACAAGGACAACUUUUAAGGAACACACCCUCUGCUGGUAGGUGAGUCCCUAUCAUUGGGUUUACUCGGUGCUAAAUCCUACUCCUAACUAAAUAAAAAUAGGACUUAAUUCUAAACUAUACUAGGUUGGACUGAACUAUUACUGAUCGUAUUAUUUAACUGAACUGAACAAAGUUCACUUAGUUUUGUUAUCUAAUGGAGUAGUACUAAAUUAUAUUAACUGAUGCAAUACUAUAGAGUUUUGUUGACUAGUCAAAUUUACUGAGGCCUGAACUAAAUACUAAACUGUAACUAUGAUUUAUUACAGAGGUUACUGUUCGUGACACUACUAAGACUAUUCUGUAACUACCACAGCUCAAGUUAAACAACUAUAUUUUCGGGUAUUAAAUAGCCCCAGGACUCGAUAAUAUGAAAAUUAAAUCAUAGUAGAAAUUUAAAAGGGCAAACCCAUAUGCACUUGAUCAUAACUCAUUCAUAGCGACAUUUUAUCAAAUACUUGCAUAAUAUAACUUCCACAUAAGCUAUAAUGACAUGAUUGUUUUUUCCUUUUUCUUUGUUUACAUGAGCAAUUUAUCAAACACUUGGAGGACCUAAUUUAUGUACACGACACUAACCACAUAUAGGUACCACAAUUUGAAUCCCCAUUUACAAUUUAAAGUGUUUAGCAUGGAUUCACAUGUUUCUAUACAUAUAUCAAUUAAUUCAAUGUGAAAACUUGUAACAACACAUUUAUUAGAAACCCAAUUAAUCAUUUUAAUCAUGAAUAAAAUAAAACUCAACAUGAAAUUCAUGGUGAGUUCUUGAGCCUUGAAUUGAAUUUAAAAUCUUCUAGGGUUUGUUCUUAUGAGAAACUUGUUAAGAAUGAAUAGUUUUUGCACUUAGAAGAGUUUAAUUUUAUAUUUUGGGGAUGAUAAACAUGAGAAAAAGACCCAAAUACCCCUAAAGAUGUGUAUUUUUAAUGACUAUAAACUGACCUAGCGACGCGCAGGCUGACGCACUGUGUCAUUGCCAUAGAUGCGAUAUCCAACAUUCUACAUCAAGUCUAUAUCGGUUCACUAGAAUUUGAUCUAGGAACUAUAGUAAAAUAUCCAUCAAUGUGAUGGAUGACACGCCGCAUCGAGAUUUUAUCGUUCAACUCAUUUGAGCUUUAAAAUAUGUUUCAAUCGAAGUCCCAAAAAUCUAAAACUUGUCCGGGAAUACCCACUGACAUUCCUGAUCAUGAUUCAACUUAAAAAUCAUUACUUUGAGGUCAUAAGGGUCAUAAAAUAGAGUCUCUAACCUACGAAGGCUAAAAUAACACUAAGUCUUAAUACUUAGCUAAAAUUUUCCAGGUUUUGGACCCUUUAACAAUCUUAUAAGGACUGAGUUAAGCAUAGAAUUUUGCGAGGUCUUAUAAUAUCUCCUCCUUAGAAACAAUCAUCCUUGAAUAAGGUUAACUAAGCUGGGGAUACUAAUAGACUAGAUUUAGAUACAGUACAUGCACAACUGUAUCAUGAUUUUAUGACUGACACUACUGAUAUGAUGAAAUUUAGUACUGAACAUGCAUAUCUGAUGCAUCAGUACAUGGCUGAACAUAAUUCAUCAAUGCAUGAUUGGAAUUACCAGUAAGUUAAGUUUCUCAUGCUGAACAUGCAUAUCUCAUGCAUGAAUACAUAACUGGAAAAUUCAGUGGUAACUGAUACUAAGUCUAAAAGGUAAAUCUGAGCAUAGAAUUUAGUAAGUUCAAGGAAAAAUUUUACCUUGGGCUAAGACUGAAUUUAUGGAGAAGAGGUGAGGAUACUUUGUUCAUAUAUCUGCUUCUACUUCCUAAGUAGCUCCUUCAACAGACUGGUUCCGCCAAAGAACAUUGAAUAGAGGGACCUCCUGUUCCUUAAGCUUUGAAUUUAAUAAUCAAGGGUUUCAGCUGGAAUUUCCUCAUAAGAGAGGUUGUUCUUAAUUUCUAUACUUCCUACAUGGAGUACAAUUGUUUGGCCACCUAUGCAUUUCUUUAGCAAGGAGACAUUGAAAACUUUAUGGACAAAAGCUAAAUCUGAAGAAAACUCAAGCUUAUAAGAUACCUUCCUGAAUAACUGAGAAUCUAGUAAGGACCAACAUAUUAGGGACUGAGCUUCCCAUUCUUUCCAAACCUCUUCACUCCUUUCAUAGGAAAGAUUUUCAAAUACACAUAAUCACCAAUCUCGAACUCGAGAUCCUUUCUUUGCACAUCUAUGUAUAAUUUCUGCCAUCUCUGAGUUGUCUUAAGUCUUUCCCUGAUCAAUUGAACCUUCUCUAAGGUGUCAAACAUCAACUUAGGCCCCAGCACUGUAACCUCUCUCACUUCAAACAUACUAAUAGGAGACAUGAAUCUCCUCCCAUAGAGUGCCUUAAAUGGAGCCAUCUGAAUACUGGAAUGAUAGCUGUUGUUAUAUGAGAACUCAAUCAAAGGCAAGUGCUCACCCCAUCUACCUUUAAAGUUUAUUUCACAUGCUGGCAGCAUAUCUUAGAAAGUCUAAAUUGUCCUUUCUGCUUGACCAUCUUUUUGAGGGUGAAAGGCUAUACUGAGGUGGACUUGGGUACCAAAACUUUUUUUGAAGACUUUUUAGAAAUUAAAGGUGAACUGUGUACCUCUAUUUGAGAUAAUUGACAAUGGAACUCCCUAAAAUCUGACCAACUCGCUGAAAUAGAGCUUGGCAUAGUCCUCGGCUGAAUAAGAGGUAUGGACUGGUAGGAAAUGGGCAGAUUUGGACAUCCUGUCUAUUAUGAAUUAAACUAAAUCGUUUUGACGACGAGUAAGAGGUAAAACUGAUGAUAUGUUGACCACUUGGUUACAAACUCUACAAUGUCUCCCUUUAUCCCACUCUACCAAUAUAUCUUCAGCAAAUCAUGGUAUAUCAUAGUGGCCCCUAGAUGAUUAGAGUAACACAUACCAUGCACUUCUGCAAGAAUCCACUGUCUUAGGUCAUCUACACCUGGCACACAGAGGCGACCCUGACAAUACAUAACACCAUCUCUCCCUUGGGAGAAAACCUCUACCUUCUGAUCUUUCGCUGAUUCUUUUAACUUAGCUAGACUAGGACCCCAUCCUUCUUUUCCUUCACUUUAGAAACCAGGGAUGAUUCUAAAUUGUUCUGCACCCAUACACUACCUUCUGCUGAUUUGACUAAGUGAACACCUAGUUAGGCAAGAUAAUGAACCUCCUUAGCUAAUUUAUUCUUACCGUACUCCACAUAAUCAAUACUACCCAUAUAUAUCCUACUAAGAGAAUCAGGCACUAUAUUGGCCUUGCCUGAAUGAUACCAAACAUUCAUGUUGUAAUAUUUCAACAACUCUAACCACCUUCUCUAAUGAAGGUUUAGGUUUUUUUGAGAGAACACAUACUAUAGGCUUAUAUAGCUAGUGAACACAUCAAUAAGCACUCCAUACAAAGAGUGCCUCAAAAUCUUUAAGGCAAAUACUAUUAUAGCCAACUCAAGAUCAUGAUUUGGAUAGUUCUUUUUUUAUGGGCUUAAGUAGUCUAGAGGAAUGGGCCAUGACCUUACCUCUUUGCAUCAAAACAUACCCCAAACCAACUCUGGAAAUAUUAUAAUACACAAUAAAUCUAUCUGAACCAUCUGGUAGAAUCAAAAUUGGCGAUAUAGUGAGUCGAGUCUUCAACUCCUGAAAACUCUUCUCACAAGAAUGUAACUACUAAAAAUUUACCUUCUUCUGAAUCAAUAUAGACAAGGGAUGCAAUAGACAAAAAUCCAUCAAUAAACCAUUGGUAAUAGCUAGCCAACCCAAGAAACUUUAGAUAUCUAGUGGAGAGAUAGGUCUGGACCAUUAUCUCACUAUUUUUGUCUUUUGGGGAUCAACUCUAAUGCCAUCACCAGAAAUGAUAUGGCCGAGGAAGGAUACUGACCUUAGCCAAAAUUUUUAUUUACUGAAUUAGGCAAAUAGCUGAUGCUUUUUGAGAGUCGGCAAUACUAUUUUGAGAUAGUCUAAAUGAUCUUACCCACUGAGGAGUAAACAAGGAUAUCAUCUAUGAAGACUAUUAUGAACAUGCCCAGGUAUAGCUUGAACACAUAGUUCAUCAAGUCUAUUUAAGCUGCUAGGGAAUUAAUAAGACCAAAUGAUAUGACUAAGAAUUCAAAAUGACUAUACUGACUUCUAAAAGCUAUUUUUUGAAUGUCACAUUCCUGACUCUGAGAGCCUGAUCUGAGGUCUAUCUUAGAAAAGUAACUAGCACCCUAAAGUUGGUCAAACAAGUCAUCGAUUCUAGGAAAUGGAUACUUUUUCUUGAUCGUGAAUUUAUUUAGUUGACGAUAGUCUAUACAUAUUCUGAGAGAAUCAUCUUUCUUACACACGAAUUAAACUAGUGCACCCCAUAUAGAAAUGUUAUGUCUGAUGAAUCUUUUAUCUUGGAGAUCUUUAAACUGUUGUUUUAAUUCUUUGAGUUCUGCUUGAGCCAUUCUAUAAGGAAGAAUAGAUAUGGGAUGGGUGUCUUGAAGAAAGUCUAUUCUGAAGUCAAUUUCCCUUUUGGGAGAAACUCCGAGAAGAUCUUCGGGAAACACGUCUGGGAAUUCAUAUUCUACUGAUACUGACUCAAGAGUAGGGGUUUCUAAACUAGUUUCUUGGACUUAAAUGAGAUGGUAGACACAUCCUUUAGAUAUAAAUUUUCUUGCCCUUAGGUAGGAAACAAGAUGACCCUUAGUGUUAAAGUAAUACCCCUCCACUCUAGGAUGAGAUUAUUUGGAAAUUAAACUGGAGAAUUUUAUUUUCUGAAGUCAAUUGAGGCAUAGCAGGAAUAAAGCCAAUCCAUGCUGAGAAUGACAUCAAAAUUGGUCAUCUCUAAUUUAACUAAGUAUGGUGAAGUGACUUUUUGAGACACCAUAACUGGAGAGUUCCUGUAUACCCAUUGGGCUAUAAUAGAUUUACCCACUGAGGUAUAGACUGAGAAAGGCUCUACUAUAAUUUUAGUACUGACUCCGAAGUCAACAGCUAUAUAAGGAGUUACAAAAUACAAAGAAGCUCUUGGAUCUACCAAAGCAUAAACAUACAAAUGAUAAAAUUUUAACGUACCUUUGUCCAUAUCAGGAGAACUUUCCUAAUCCUAUCAGGACUGAAGGGCAUAGAAUCUAUUUAGCCAUUGCCUACUGGUAGCACUGGAAGUAGCACCCUGCUGAUUCGGAUGGUCGAACUGAGCUGAGGGGUAUUAUACUGACCCUAGGAACCCGACUGAGGACAAUCCCUUACUCUGUGACAUGGUAUUCCACACUAAAAACACACAUCAUUGCCAGUCCUACAUAUACCCUUAUGGUUUCUGCCAUAUUUCUGGAAAAGAGGAUUGGUUCAGGCAUUAUUGACACUACCCUGAGGCUUAGGGCCUAGCGCCCUAUAUCUUUUUCUAUCUAUGAAUUUUGGCUCUAGAGCAAUGGAUAAGGAUAGAGCUGGAACUGAGGAUUUCAGGUAGAACUGAGAAUGAUUCCUACCCUCAGAAUUAGUCUGAAAGAAGUUGAAACUACCUAUUUUGGAACUCUUUAUCUCUCUCACUUUCUCUCUAUUCUUAGCCUCCUCUAUCUACUGAGAGUGGACCAUGAACCUUGAUAUGUAUAUCUCAUUAAUCAGCAUUGCGAUCCUACACUCCUUAACCUUACCAGUAGAUAUGCCCAACACAAACUUACUCAUCUUAGAUCUUCUAUCUUCUACCACAUGAUGAGCAUAUCUAGCUAAUUAUGUAAUCAUGAGAGAAUUCUCUUUUACUAUCAUUUUUCCUACUUCAGGUUACUAAAUUCUAGAACCUUCGCUUACCUCAACUCCAAUGGGGCGAACCUAUCUAGAAAAGCAGUGAAAAACUCCUCCCACUCUCUGCUUCCCCUAUUUUAACAAUGAGUGAUCCUCAUUCUAUAAUUGAUAUAUAUAUAUAACUAAACACUCUCACUAGAUUUCACCACCAUAAUAUAGGUAAACUUCUGCACCUAAUAAAGAAAUUCAUGUAGGUCCUUAUCUAACUUUAACCUAAUAAAAGAUGAAGGGUUGAUUUAAGUUAAGUUUUGAAUCCUGGUUGCAGUAGUAUUAGCCACUAGGUUGUCUAGAAUGCCAGCUGUGCAUUCAUUCUAGGCUGCCACAGAAUGAGCUAGGGUGUUGAAAGCUUCUCUGAAUUUAGUGUGGGAGACAUGUUCAUCCAGUGGAUCUGGCUGGAUGAGAUGAGGUACUGGCUGGUCUCCUCUUUCUCUUCCUUUAGUUCUCUUUUAAGUCAUAUUCUAUAAAUAGAGGAGAAACUUGGAUUAUACAAGGAUUUUAACUUUAUCUUAUGCUCUCCCACAUGAUAUGAUUACUGAAAGAAGGGAAACUAUUUAUAAAACAUGUAAUAGCCUCUUGUCCAUAAAUGUGGCAUGCUACACACACUUGCACAAGACGCUACUAGACGCGGCUUUCAAACUUCCUAGGAUUCUGCUGAAGCUUUGGCUCUGAUACCAAGUUUGUAAUGCCCCGAGUCUAUACCUUGGAUAUGAAAUCGUGCUUAUAAUCCCAAAGGAACAGAUGCAAACCCAUGACUGGUAGCUACUGCAUUAACUGAAUAAGAAUAAUGUAAUUUUGCAGAAAUUAGGCAAAAAUCUACCAAAAGGUUCAAAUCUGAAAUAAAUACUGAGUAUGGUACAUUAACACCAAAACUGAACAUCUGUCUACAAAUAUUCUAUGUCUGACAAGCCUCUAUUGUCUAACCAAGGUGUUGAUGGGAAAAGUCCCCAACUAACUCCAACUGCUGAAAUAAACUAAGUACUAAAACACUGGAAUAAUAAAUUUGUCCUCUAACAAUGAGGACUCACCACUAGUCUGCUGCUGAUGGAUCGAGAGACUAUGUAUACUAGGAAGCCCGUACAUCUGAACCUAUGAUAUAAGACAUCAUAAUGCAAAAGUAAGGUAUACAUUAGUACUUUAAAUAUAAUGGUAUACUAUGUAAGGUAGGCUAAGAGUCAUGGGUUUAUAUGCAUGAACAAUAUGAAGUCACUCAGUACUUAAUAACAUAAGUAUAACUGAAUGUGACCACAUACAUUGUAAACUAUAACUGAGGUCAUGGUAACACUGGAUACUGCACUAAGAAUCACUCAUUUACUGAUGUCUAAGCUUACUGAUACUAUAUUAUUAUUAACUGAGUGACCAUAUCUGAUUGUCCUAAUUUUGUUGAACUAUUCAGAGUUUCGUACUGAACUAAUUUACUAUGUUCGACAGUCCUAAUUUUUUUAGAACUAAAUUUAGUUCCAUUUUGAAAAAUGAAACUAAGACUGUAGGAGGUAAUAAUCUAACUGACAUGCCCCUCUUUGAAUGUAUUGGGGUCCAACCUGUAACCAUAGUUGGAAGGGUGUCAGAACCCUGCCAUAGGUAAAGACAAGCUGAGUCACCCACAUCUGGAAGGUGCUCUGAAUGAGAAUGGUGGUACCCUGAACUGGCAGGUAAGAUACCUUAUCAACCCUCAACUAGAAGGUUGAUGUCUCAACCUAUACUGGCUAUGUAGUUCUUGAACACAAGGACUGCUUCUAAGGAUCACACCCUCAGUUGGCAGGUGAGUCCCCAUCAUUGGGUUCACUCUGUGUUGAAUCCUACUCCUAACUGAAUAGAUAAUGGACUUAAUUCUAAACUGUACUAGGCUAGAUAGAACAGUUACUGAUCAUACUGUCUAACUAAAUUGAACUGAGUUCACUAGGUUCUGUUAUCUGAUAGAGUACUACAGAAAUCUAUUAUCUUAUGGAAUACUACAGAGUUCUAUUGACUUUCCAAAUUUACUGAGGUCUGAACUAAAUACUGAAGUAUAAUUGCGACUGAUUACUAAGCUUACUGUUCAUGACACUACUAAGACUGUUCUGUAACUACCAUAGCUCUAGGUAAAUAACUAAGUUUUUGGGUAUUAAAUAACCCCACAACUCGAUAGCAUGAAAAUUAAAUCAUAGCAUAAAUUUAAAAGGGAAAAACUAUAUGCACUUGAUCAUAACUUAUUAAUAGAGACAUUUUAUUGAACACUUACAUGAUAUAACUUGCAUAUAAGCUAUCAUGACAUGAAUAUUUUUCCCUUUUCUUUGUUUACAUGAGAAAUUAUUCAAACACUUGGAGGACAUAAUCCAUGCACAUAACAAUAACCACAUAUAGGUAUAAUAAUUUGAAUCCCCAUUUAUAAUUUCAAUGGUUUAGCAUGGAUUCACAUGAUUCUAUGCAUAUAUCAAAAAACUCCACAUCAAAACUUGUAAUAAUACAGGUAUUAGAAACCCAAUUAAUCAUUAUAUUCAUGAAUAUAAUCAAACCCAAUAUGAAAUUCAUGUAAAUAAUACAUUGAACUUUUAGAAAUAGAUCCUUGAACUCCAAGGGUGAAAGGGACCCUUGGAUGAACACUUGACAUACCUUAACAAUUAAAUUCUAAAAGAUUAAUGGUAAGUUCUUGAGACUUGAAUUGAAUUUAAAAUCUCCUAGGGUUUUUUCUUAUGAGCAUCUUGUGAAGAAUGAAUAGUUUUUGCUAUUAGAAGAGUUUAAUUUCAUGUUUUGGGGCUGAUAGACAUGGAAAAAAAAUCUAAGUACCCCUGAGGAUGCAGUUUUUAAUGUCUGUAAACUGACCUAGCGACGUGUAGGCUGACGUACCACGUCAUUUCCAUCGAUAAGAUGUCCAACACUCCACAUUGAGUCCACAUCGGUUCACUAGAACUUGUACUAGGAGAUGGAGUGAAAUAUUCAUCAAUGCGAUGGGCAAUGCGCCACGUCAAAAUCUCCUUGAUCUAUUGGUUUGAGCUUUCAAAUAUUGUUUGAAAAAAUGGAAACUUAUCUAGGAACACCCACUGACAUUCCAGAUCAUGAAUAAACAUAAAAAUCAUUACUUUAAGGUCAUGAGGGCCGUAAAAUAAAGUUCCCAACCUAUGGAAGCUAAAAUAACACUAAGUUUGAAUACUUAGAUAGCAUUUUCUAAGUUUGGGACCCCUUAACAAGCUUUAAAGGAUUGAGUUAUGUGUAGGAUUUUGUGGGGUCUUAUACUAACCAAGGACCUUUUGGUAAUUUCCCAUUUGUAAAAACCUAAAACCUCUCACUAUAAAUGGAAUUGUAGCCUCCUAAGUAUUUAUUUGCAAAGUUUGAACAUUCCAAAACACUCUAAAGGCUUCUUUGAGAAAGAUUGGAGGCUAGGGUUUUGAAGUGUUCAUCUAGUGCCAAGGAAGAGUAAAAAUUAUUGGUGUGUCAUAUUUUUAAGGCAUAUAUAUCUUCCCUUCAUUAAAUACCUCCAAAUACAAUGUAUUUCACAAUUGGAUUAGUAAGUGUUCAUGGUUGUUUUGAAUCAUAUGAAAAGAGUUUUGUUACCUAACAAUGUACAAUGAUAGUUCUUGCUUUAAUAUGUGUUGAUAUAUGUUAUUAAUGGUAGAUUGUAUAUAUGGAUGCUUUUUGUAUGUUAUUUAACAUCUGGGUCUUUAGGUACCCUAGUCUUGAUGAUUUGUACCAUGAGAAUGGCCUUAGUAGAGGUACACACCAAGGGUGUUCGUAAAAAUAUCUAAGAGAAAUGACUAAUUAUAUGUUGAUAAGUUGUUGAUCUAGUGAAAUGGCCCAAAUCAGUAUGAAUGAUUGUAGAAUAAUAUUUUGAUCGUAUUAUGAGCCAUGUAUUAUAUAAUUGAUAACCUUUUUGGGUAAUGACUAAUGAAAAGGUAAAGCCCUAGACAUGAAAAUGAACUUGAAUAGUGUAUGAAACCAUGUGUGGUAAAAAUGUGAUGUAAUAUUAUUAAUGAUAUGUGAAUUUUUUGAUUGGGUUUUAAGGACCAUAAAUUAAUUGUAUGAUAAAUUGAAUGAAGGAAUUAGCCUAUUUUGAUGGUUGAACAAUGGAGGAUUCCGUAAGUACCAUGUGGUUAUUGAAAUUGGCUAAAUAAGCCAAAGCCCUUAAAUGUGACAUAUAUUGUAUCAAUGUGAAUGCAUGAGCUAAUAGGUUAAGAUUUCAAUGAUGACCAAUGAUUCCAAUGAAAUAAUGAGUGAUUCGUGUUCGUAGUCCAAUAAUAUUACUAGUGAUUUGAGUUUCUAGUCCCAUGAAACAAUGAGUGAUUUGAUUUCUUCAUCAAUGACAUGGCUAGUGAUUCAAAUUCCUCGGAUAGUGAUAUGAAUAAAGAUUUUAGUUCCUAGUUCGAAGAGAUCUUUUGCGGUUAUAAUACCUCCUCUAAUGAAACGUCUAGUGAUUAGAGUUCCUAGACCAAUUAUAUGACUAACGAUUUGGUUCCUAGUUCAAUGAAAUAACAUAGCUAGUGAUUCGAGUUCCUAUAAAGUGAGACUACUAGUGAUUUUAGUUCCUAGUCUAGAGAGAUGGAAGUGAGGUUGGUUGAAUAGGCUAACUUUAUUGAAAGUUCUUCACUCCAUGUCUUAUGAAUGAAUAACUUGAGCACACAUGCUAAGUCAUUUUCCUUGUGUUAUAAUAUUAUCUUGAUGUGUAUAUCCAUGUGUAUGAGUAUAUUUCAAAGAAAAAUGUUGAGCCUUGGUCUCUUGAAUAGCGUGUAGAAUACCAAUGUGUAAGGCUAAGUAUAUCUAUAUAAAUGGUGAUAUAUAUAUUGACUUGUUGUUGAGAGAUUAUAAUAUAUUGACUUGUUGUUUAACGAUGAUGUUAUUUUAUCCACACACUUGAGUUACAUGCUAGCAUUCCAAUUGCUAAACGUCUCUUAUGCUACAUCCCCACAUGAUGUUAGGGCAGGAGUAUCUUUUUCAUACCUGUGCAAUGAUUAAAUGAUCAAGCAAUUCAUGUAUUGACUUGAAGGGGUGAUAUUCCUUACAUCUGGAAAACAAUAAUCUUUUGUCCUUAUUUUUACACUUCGUCUCUCAAGAGUUGAUUUUACUAUAGUCGGGGGCCUCUAUCGACAUUUAUACUUAUUACCUUCUGUUUUAUAUAGAGGUACUAUGAACAACUAUGAACUUGGGCAUAAUUAUUAUAAUGAAUCUAAUGUGGACUUAUGAUAUUAUUAUAUGAUCUUAACUUGUGAAUUGGAGUUCCUUCAACUCCUAGAUAUAAUGAAGUGUUUAGGUUGGGUUAUAGGGUGACCUAUGGUACAAUACAUGUAUGCUUGAGGUACCCCUAAGACAUGGCCUGAAUUUUGGGGUGUGCUAAGUUGGUAUCAUAGCCUAGGUUUAUGGUCAGUUGGAUAUUUAUAAUACCUUGUCAAGUAGAGCUUAUUUAAAGGGUGUGAAUGGCACCAUACUUAUAAAAGAGAAGAUAUGAGAUAUUUUAGGAAAUGUUUCCUUUUUUUAUGUUUCAAUCUCACGCUAAAAAGUUUAUGGUCUUGAAUUUCUAUGAUUCUAUUUACUAUGUUUCAGAUCCUACCUCAAAGGAGAUCUAAGAAUUAAAAGAGAUUCGAGACUUAGGUAAACACUUUUUCCCUAAAAGAGGGUCCUAUAGAUAAAGCUUGUCUAUCUUUUCAUGUUCAGACCUAGGCUAGAACUAUGGCAUAUGAACAUCCUUAUUGGGUUCCAUCCACUAAAAUUUCUCAUGAGAGUGGCAUUUCUCCUCAGUCUCCUCAAAGGGAUGCUAAUAAUACCGAGUUUCAUCGUUCUAUCAACUUUUUGACUCAAUUGGUAGCCUCUCAAGAAGAGCGUGGUGCUGUGACUAUAUUUUCUUUGGAUUCCCUGAGAAUUAUCCAAUUUAUGAUAUUGAGUCCUCCUAUUUUAUAUGAUAUGAUAUUGAGGAAGAUCCUCAAGGCUUUAUUGAUGAAAUGGAGAAGAUCUUCUGAAUCUUGUAUGCUUAAAAAAUUAAGGUUGUGCGGUUUGUAUCCUACCAAUUGAAGGAUAUUGCAUACCAAUGGUACAAAAUUUGGGAGUUAUCUGUAGGUGUUGAUGCUAGUCCCGCUUUAUGGGAAAAUAUGUCUAAGGCUUUCCUUGACUGCUUGUUUCCUCAAGAAUUAAGAAAGGCUAAGGUAGAAGAGAUCAUGAACCUAAAAAAGUGGAAUGUCUGUUAAAGAGUAUGCCUUGAAAUUCCAUCAAUAUAUCAAGGUAUGCUCCCGAGAUAGUUUUUUUACAUGAGGGCUAGAAUAUGUAAGUUUGUCUCGGGAUUAUCCAGUGAGUUAGUUCUUGAGAGCCAAUCAACAUAAUUUGUUGAAAACAUUGUUAUUUAUAGGUUGAUUGUGCAUAUGCAACAAGUAGAAUAUGAACAUAAUGGGAAAGCUAAUAUUAGUAAGAGGUAAGGAAGGUAGUUUAGGCCUUUCGAGAAUAGCGGUGGAGAUAGUGGCAAGUGGCCACAAAAGAAAUGGGAGAGUUUAGGUUUGUUCUCCUUGACGAGAAUUUGCUCUCCUUAACCAAAGUAUUUGAGUAGUCGUCGAUCUCAGUUCAGUGGCGGAUCCUGGCUAUUUGGUUUCCAAUUUAAGACUAGUCGUGCACAGUUAGCUCCACCCUAUCCUUCUUAUAGAUUCUGUGGUUAGAGCCAUCAUAGUGGGUAUGAGAAAGGGAGAGGCAAUUGUUUUUAUUAAGGUUAGGUCAGGCAUAUGAAGUGAAAGUACCCCUCUCAGAUGGCUGCUUCGACCAACAGGCCUACUAAUACUAUCCUCCUCCUGUACCAAAUAGUGCUAUAUCUUCUUUGACUUUUAUUUUUUGCAUCGAUGUUGUCCGGAAUAUUUAUAUGCACUUGCUAAUUGCCUGGAUUCUGAGGCUUCUCCCGAUGUUGUCACGGGUAUAUUGAGAAUUUUCUCUUGUGAUGUUUAUUAUUUGCUUGAUCCAGGGUAUACUCUUUCUUAUAUGACCCCAUGUGUGGUUGUGCAUCUUGAUUGUGGUCCAAGGAGUCUGUUGGUUCCUUUCCUAUCUUUACCUAAGUCGAAAAGCUAGUGAUUAUAAUAAGGGUAUAAGUGGAUGUGUGAUAUCUAUUGGUGGUAGGGACACUCUUAUUAAUUUGAUAGAGUUAGACAUAGUCAAUUUUUAUAUCAUUUUGGGAAUGGAAUGGUUGCGUUCUUUCUAUGCUUCCUUAGAUUGUCAGACAUGUAGGGUUAUGUGCCAAUUCCCUAAUAAGCCAAUCAUUGUAUGGGAAGGUGGUUCUUUAGUGUAUAAGCGAAGAUUUAUUUCAUAUCUUAAAGCCCAAAAGCUAAUUGCAAUGGGUUGCUUGUAUCAUUUGGACUGAGUUAAAGAUUUUAAUUUGAAAGAGCCUUCUCUAGAGUCCAUUCACAUGUUGAACGAGUUUCCUGAUAUGUUCCCUGAUUAUUUUUUCGGUGUUUCUCCCUGAUAGGGAAAUUGAUUUUGGGAUUGAUCUUGUUCUAGACACUCAUCCAAUCUCUAUUCCUCCUUACAUAAUAGUUCUAGUGGUGCUAAAAGAACUUAAGGACCAAUUGAAAAACCUCUUAAAAAUAGGUUUUAUCCAGCCUAGUUUGUCUCCAUGGGGUGCUCCCAUGUUGUUUGUGCUCUAGAAUGAUGGUUCCUUUUGUAUGUGCAUUAAUUAUCAUCAGUUAAACAAAGUGACCAUAAAGAAUAAGUAUUCUCUUCCUAGGAUCAAUGAUUUAUUUAAUCAUCACCAUGGUUUGCAGUAUUUUUCUAUGAUUGAGCUUAGAUCAGGUUAUCAUCAACUUAAAAUUACGGAUGUAGAUAUCCCUAAGACUAUCUUUAGAACCCGUUAUCGUCGCUAUGAGUAUUUUGUCAUGUCUUUUGAGUUGACCGAUGCCUUGAUGAAAUUAAUGGAUUUUAUGAAUACGGUCUUCCAUCUGCUCUUGGAUAUGUUUGUCAUUGUCCUCAUAGAUGAUAUCUUGGUUUAUUUUAAGAGUAAGGUGGAUCAUGUAGAUCACCUCUAUACUGUGUUAUAAACUUUUAGGGAUCAUCACAUGUAUGCAAAGUUCUCCAAGUGUGAGUCUUUGUUGAAAGCCGUAGCUUUUCUUAGGCAUGUCAUCUCAAGUGAAGGGAUUAUGAUAGAUCUCCAAAAGAUUGUUGUGAUUAAGAAGGACCUAGACCGAUGACUCCAAUCAUUUUAGCUACUUCUUUGGUCUAGCUGGUUAUUAUAGAAGGUUUGUGGAGAGUUUUUCAAUUAUAGUUUCCCAGUUAAAAAGAUUGACCCAAAAUAACAUCAAGUUUUUAUGGUCUGAUACAUAUGAGGGUAGUUUUAAGAAGUUGAAAGACAAAUUGAAUUUGGCUCAGGUUUUGACAUUGACUAGAGAUAGUGAUGGUUUUGUGGUUUAUUAUGAUACUUCUUGUGUCAGUCUUGGUAGUGUGUUGAUUCAAUAUGGUAGGGUGGUGGAAUAUACUUGUAGGCAAUUGAAUGUCCAUGAAAAGAACUACCCCACCCAUGGCUUAAAAUUUUUGGCCAUGGUCAUUGCUCUGAAAAUUUUGUGGCAUUAUCUCUAUGGUGUUUAUAUUGAUAUCUUUUCUGAAUAUAAGAGUCUCCAAUAUGUGUUUACCCAAAAGGAGUUGAAUCUCUUGCAAACAAGAUGGCUCAAGCUAUUUAAAGACUAUUAUAUGAGUCUUCAUUACCAUCCUAGUAAGGAGAAUGUAGUUGCCGAUGCCUUAAGUAGAUUGUCUAUGAGGAUUUUAGCCCAUGUUGUUGAGGAUAAGCUGGAGUUGGUUAUAGAUAUUCACCAUAUGGAAAAUCGUGGAGUUUGACUUAUGGAUUUCGAGGAUGGUGUUGUAUUUGUGCAUCUAAAAUUUAUUCAUCUGUUGUUGUUGAGAUAAGGGAAAAGAAACUGUUAGAUACCAACAUGAUGAAGGUCAAGGGUAAUGUGCAUCAACACAAAGUUACGGACAUUUUGAUUUAUGGUGAUGGUAUCUUGAGGUACCAAGGUAGGCUAUGUGUUCCCAACAUCAAUGGAUUGAGGGAAAGGGUCAUGGUUGAGGCUCAUGGAGCCCGUUAUGUUAUUCAUUCCGGUUCCACCAAGAUGUUUCAUGAUCUUAGAGAGUUCUAUUGGUAGAAUAAUAUGAAUCAUGAUAUUGCUAGCCAUGUGUCAAGGUGUAUGGUGUGCCAACAAGUAAAGGUUGAGCACUUGAGGCCCGGUGGCCUAUACUAAGAGAUUGCAUUACCCGAAUGGAAGAAGAGUCAUACCUUAGGCUCAUUGAUCCAGUUAUGUUAUUCAUCAAGAUUAAACCUAAAUGUAUCAUGACAUUAGUGAGUUCUAUUGGUGGAAUAAUAUGAAGCGUGAGGUUUCAAGCUAUGUGGCUAAUUGUAUGGUAUGUCAACAUGUGAAAGUUGUACACAUAAGCCUCGGUAGUUUAUACCAGGAGAAUGUAUUUCCCUAGUGAAAAUGGGAGGUGAUUAAUAUGGAUUUUUUUAUCGGUCUUACUAGCUCUCAAAAUCAAUGUGAUUCCAUUUGGGUCAUUAUUGAUAGAAUGACCUAGUCUACCCAUUUAUUGCCCAUGAGAACUAAUUACUUGACGGAAGGUUAUACUAAGUUGUAUCUUAUGGGAAUAGUAAAGUUGCACGGUGGUCUGGUAUCUAUUACUCGGACCCUGGUCCUCUAUUUUUAUUCCACUUUUGGAAGUUGUUUCUAAUAGGUUUGGGAACAAAGGUGUGUCUUAGUACCACUUUUCACCAACAAACGGAUGGUCAAGAAGAUAGAACUAUCCUAAUACUGUAAGAUAUGUUGUGGGCUUGUGUAAUUUAUUAUGGUGGUAGUUUGUAUAACCACUUGCCUUUGAUUGAGUUUUCCUAUAUUAAUAGUGACCACUUUAAUAUUGGCAUGGCACCAUAUGAAGCAUUGUAUGGUAGAAGAUUUCGAUCUCCUAUUGGGUGGUACGAAGUUGGCAAGGGUAUAUUGCAAGGGCCUAAUUUAGUUCAUCAAGUAUUUAGAAAGGUGAAGGUGAUUCAUCAUAGAUUGAAAACAGCUAAAAGAAGGAACAAGUCCUAACUGGAUGUGAGGUGUAGAGACUUGGUGUUUAGUGUCGGCGAUUAGGUAUUCUUACAAAUAUCUCCCAUGAAGGGAGUGAUACGAUUCAAUAAAAAAAGGAAGCUUAGUCCCUGCUAUGUUGGUCCUUACUUUAGUUUGAAAAGGUUUAGGAAUGUUGACUAUGCGUUGGAGUGGCCUCCUAGUAUGGACUCCAUUCACCCAAUUUUUCAUGUGCUUAUGUAACAAAAAUCUGUGGGUAAUCUUUCCUUGGUUGUCCCAUAGAAUGAUUUUAGUAUCUCAAAAUUUUUCACCUAUAAGGAGAUCCUGGUGUGGAUCUUGGAUCAGCAAGUUCAUUGGAAGAAAAAAGAAGUGGCUUUGGUAAAGGUUGUAUGGAGGAACCAAAAAGUCCAAGGAAGCUAAUUAGGAGGCGGAGGAAGACAUGCAGUCCAAAUAUCCCCAUUUCUUUUUCAUUUCGAAAACAUUGGAUUGAGUUAUGUGUUAACCUUCUUGAUUUGACUUUUUUCUUUAAUGGAUAAUGGGUUCGAGUCCCUAAACUUUAAAGGAGCCAUGUGGCCUUUAUAAAUGAUGGGAUUGGAUUCCCUAGUGAAUGAAAUAAAAUGGUUAAUUGAUGAUAAUCAUGAUACCUAUUCUGUUGUAUCCUUGUUGUGUGCUUGUUUCUUGCUUGUGUAAGGGUUAUUUUGAUGCAUGUGAAUGUGUUAACUUUUUUUAUGCUUGCCUUAUCCUUCAUUUACGGAUGAAUGAUCCUGAAGAGAGGGAGAAUAGAAACACCUAGACUUUGAGCCAUUGAAAAACAACAACUUUUGGUGUCUUUGAGUAGGGUAUGACUUGAAGCAUUGAGUCAUACCCUUGUCCACAAAUGUUACCCUUAUCACCCCUCUUUCAUAUCCUCGGUAGAAUAUUAGGGAAGCAUACUUUCUUCCAUACAACAAGGCAAUCUAUUGGUCAUAACCAUGCAUACGAGUCGUACGCUACUAAACUGUAUAGAGCAAAGUCUCCAAAUCGUAUGGACUAUUUUUAUUACAGAUGGACAUCACGAUGGGGGAAUGAGUUGUACCCUUGGUUUAGACUCAAUGGUGCCUACUCAUACCAACAAAGUGUGGUCAAAACAGAAGAGUCCUAGGGUACAAGGUAGGGUACCAUUCAUACCCUAGGGUAUAACUGCUCAAGAAAUUGUAAAGGAGAGUUGUAUCCCUGCACGAGUAUGCUCUUCAUCUUUUAAGUAAGGACCUACAGGUAAUUUCCCAUGCCUAAAAAGCUAAAACCUCUAACUAUAUAAGGCAUUGUAUCCUCCUAAGUAUUUAUUUACAAGACUUAAGGAUUAUAAAACACUCUAACGGCUUCUUAGAGAAAAAUUGGAGGAUAGGGUUUGGAAGUGUUCAUCUAGUUCCAAGGAAGAGUCAAGAUUGUAGGUGUGUUAUAUUUUUUAAGGAAUGUAUCUCUUCGCCUCUUUAAAUAUCGCUAAAACCCUUGUAUUUCACAUUUGGAUUAGGAAGUAUACAUGGUGAUUUCGAAUCAAAUGAAAAGGUUUUUUUUACCUAACAAUGAAUAAUGAUGAUUCUUGCUUAAAUGUGUGUUGAUUCAUGUUAUUAAUGGUAGAUUGUAUGUGUGGGUGCUUGGUAUUUGUUGUUUAACAUGAGGGUCUUGAUAAAACCUAGUCUUGAUGAUUUCUACAUGACAAUGGCCUUAUUAGCAGUAUGAACCCAAGGUAUUUGUAAAAAUGUCUAAGAGAAAUGACUAGUUGUAGGUUUACAAUGUGUUGAGCUAGGGCAAUGGCCCAAAUGAGUAUGAAUUAUUGUUAAAUGAUAUUGUAAAGGUAUUAUGAGCCAUGUUUUGUUUGAUUUAUAACCUUGUUUGGUGAUGGCAAAUGAAAGGGUGAAGCCCUAGAAAUGAAAAUGAACUUUAAUUAUGUAUGGAACCAAGUAUAGUGAAAAUUGAUGCAAUAUUGUUAAUUAUCUAUGAAUAGUUUGUGUGGGUCUUGUGGACCAUAAAUUGAACUUUAUGAUGAAUUUAAUGAAGGCAUUGGCCUAUUGAGAUGGUUGAGCAAUAUAGGCUCCCAUAAGUACCAUGUUUUCGCUAAAUAAGCCAAAGCCCUUAAAUGUGACAUACAUUGUAUAAAUGUGAAUGCAUGAGCUAAUGGGUCAAGUAUUUUAUGUCGGGAAACGAUGCCAUUGAAACAACGAGUGAUUCAAGUUCUUCGUCUAAUGAUUUGACUAGUGAUUUGAGUUCCUUGACCCAUGAAACAAUGAGUGAUUCUAUUUCUUCAUCAAUGACACUACUAGUGAUUUGAGUUCCUAGGCCGGUGAUAUCAGUACAAAUUAAAGUUCCUAGUUUGAAGAUAUAUAUUAAGGUUAGAAUACCUCUUCUAAUGACAAAGCUAGUGAUUCUAGUUCAUUGAAUGGUUGUAUGACUAGCAGCUCGAGUUCCUAGUUCAAUGAAAUUGCAUAACGUAUGAUUCGAGUUCCAAGACCAAUGAGAAUACUAGCGAUUAAAGUUCCUAGCCUAGGGAGGUGAGAGUGAGGUUAGUAAAAUGGGCUAACUUGGUUGAAAGUUCUUCACUCCAUGUAUUAUGAAAGAAUGAUUUGAGAAUACAUGCUAAGUCAUUUUCCUUAUGGCAUAAUAUGAUCAUGAUGUAUGUAUUCAUGUGUAUGAGAAUAUGUUUAAGAAUGAUGUUAAGCCUUUUUCUAUUGAUUAUAAUGUGGAAUACUUAUGUGUAUGGAAAUGUAUAUGAAUAUGAAUGAUGAUAUAUCUAUAUUGACUUGUUGUUGUUAAAUGUUUAUAUUAUUUUAUCCUUACCCUUGAGUUACAUACUAACGUUCUAACCCGUUAACUAUCUUUGGAGGUUACAUCCCCACACAAUGUAGGGGCCGAAACAUAUUCUUCUUUACUUAUGAAAUGAUUAGACGAUCAAGCGGUUCCUACAUUGACUUGAAAGGAUGAAAUUCCUUACAUCUGAAAGGCAUUCAUUUCUUAGUUAUUAUCCUUAUACUUAGUCUCUUUAAGCCUUGAUUUGGCUAUAGUCGGGGGCUUGUCCUUACAUAAAUACUUAUUGACUUUGGUUUGGUAUAGAGGUAUUGUGAACAACUGUGAACUUGGGUGUAUUUAUUAUAAUGAAUCUAAUGUUUAUUUAUGAUAUUAUUCAGUAAUUCUAACUUGUGAAUUGUAAUUCCUUAGAUUCCUAUGAUAUUAUAAAGAGUUUAGGUUGGGGUACGGUGUGACCUUUGGUAGACUAUAUGUGUUAUUAAGGUACGCAUAAUAUAUGGCCCAAAUUUUGGGGCGUGUCAGUUGACUUAGUUACUAAUUAGCUUAGUUGUUGUGUUUGAGAAGAACCUAUACCUUUGAACUAAUUGUAGCUUGCUAUAUAUCUAAGAGUGGAUUUAGAUACCUUAGCCUAGUCCAAGGUAGUACUUGACUUAGAAUGUAUUUUGAGGAUUUAGAAGUAGGCUCUUUGACACACCUUAGGCCAAGAUAUAUGAUUAGUUCUAUUAAACCCGUUAUACACUUGUUAAAUGCCUAGAGAAUGCUCUUUUUGAGGCAAUAUUGAGGAAACUUGGCACUUGAUUAUGAAAUUAGAAGUAAUGUUCAUGGACUAAUUCCUUAUUGCUAUCGAUGAUUGAAAUGAUAAACUAUCUCUUAUGUUAAUGAUAAGCCAUUGGGUAUACUAUAGAUAAGUCAUUGCUCGUUGUAUUUCUCUUGAUUAUGAACUUUCUAAGAAGCUAUGUUGGUAAUCAUGGUAGAAAAUAUGUCUCUUAAUGAUCAUAGAAAUUGUAUCAUAAAUUAUGUUAUUGAAAGUUAUGCUAUUAAUUAUGAGUGAAAUCAUGAUUGUUGAUUACAUGAUCACUUAUGCUAUUGAUUUUUCCACAAACUAUGAUGAUGUGUCUACCGGUUUGAGUUUGAAUAUUAUGAUAUAUAUACAUAUAUAUAUUGAUAUCAGACAAGGCCAUAGGUUGAUUAUGAUGAUAUUUGAUACCGGGCAAGGUCGGAGGAUGAUUAUGAUCAAAUGUUCAUACCCUAUAAGGCCAGAGGAUGAUUAUGAGUAUAUAUUGAUAUCUGACAAGAUCGAAAGAUGAUUAUGAUAAUAUAUUACUACACGUCAAGGAUGAAGAAUUAUUAUUAAUAUAUAUGGAUACCUUGAAGGCUGGAGGAUAAUUAUGAUUAUAUUUGAUACACGACAAGGAUGAAGGAUGUUUAUGAUGAUUCCUUGAUACCCCGCAUCAUGGAUGGAGGAUUAUUAUAUUCAUGUUCCUAUGUAUAUAUAUAUAUCAGUUUGAGUCUGACUAUACCCUAUGUUUGGCUAUCUUAUAUAUAUGUAUACAUAUAUAAAUAAUUUUAUGUAUUUGGGUAUAAAAUUUAAAUUUGCAAGGUCGGAUAUAGCCCUCGAGUGGUAAAUAAUUAGAAGAAAGGAUAAUGAAUAAUUAGUGAUAAUUUUUUAUUAGUGGUAAAUGUUGUUUAAGUGAUAAAACAAUGGCUUGUUGAUAAUCAAGGUUUAGUUGGUAAAUAAUGAUUAGAUAAUAAAUAUUUUUUUAUGAUAAAUGAUUGUUACCAAAUAAAUGUUGAUUAGUGGAUAUGUGGCAACUUGUUGUUGAGUGACAACUACAUGUUAUAUGAUGACAAGUAAUACAAUGGAUUAGUUAAUAAGAUUUGGUUUUCUAAGAACUGGUGUCUAGUGAGUAUUGAUAAUAAGGAUGUUAAAUGAUGGUAGUAUUAUGGAAUUUGGAUACAUAGUUAAAUGUUAGUAAAUAGUUGAUUGAUGAUAAAUUUAGGAAUGGUGGUUAAAUAAUCAGUUGGUUAAUGUUAGCGAUGAAUAGAUUCUUUAUUCUAUUUAUGAAUAUACUCUCCAGACGUAUGGGUUUUUGUGAUGAGGUUUUUACUUUCCGUGCCAAUUGAUGUACUAGAGUCAAUUUUGUAGUUCUGAUUGCUUGUGCAAUGCCUUGUGAAGCGUUAUUAUUCUUAUUUUCUUACUUAUAUUGCACAAAGAUACUGGUGUGUGUUCAUGCCUUAUGUUAUAUUUCUAUUCAGGAUAAAUUACUUAUAUUGUAUGACAAUAUUGGAAUUGAUUCAGGUUUAGUUCUAUACCUUGGGUUAGUCAUGUUAUCUUUCAUUUUAUAAUUGUUAUAUCAUGAUUUAUCUCAAUCAGUUGAUGAUGUGAAAUACCCCGAGACUCUAACAAAUAGUGCAAUGAUGACUCAAUAUCAUGAUAAGUAAAGUAUAGUUCUUUGACUAUUUUCUGAUCAAGGGUGAUAUGUAUUAAGGCUACAAAGAUGUCCUAGCGAUUAGGUGAAUUAAAACAUUCCUUACCGAUUAAAUUCUAGAGAAGGAUAUUACCAUAUUCAACUUCAAAUGAGAAUAUCUCUUGUGAUACUUCUAAUUAUUGAGCUCAUGACCUACCAAAAGAAAGAUAAUUGAAUUAGAUUUCCAACGAUACAAAUUUUACAAAAAUCCGAUAUCGGGGCAAAGAGUUAUGCCCAUUUUACUCCAGCUUAUCAGCCUGGAAAUUUCAUGACGACAUUUUGUGACGACUUGUCACAAAAUGUUGUCAUCAUAAGCACAAUGUCACAAAAUCCAACAUUUUGUGAAGACUUAUCAAAAGUUUGACGGCGUGUCACAAAAUGUCGUCAACCUUAAGCCAGAAAUCAUGCAAUCAACCCUUUUGUGACCACAUUUCGUGAUGACUUGUCACAAGUCUGACAACUUGUCAUGAAUGUUGUCAGCUAUUUCUUUUUCAGCAAUUAAAGGAUGUUUUUAUAAUGGUAUUUCGGCCUUUGAUCAUCUUUCGGAGGCCUUAUAUAUAUGAGUAUUCCAAUCUAAACCCUAAUUUAUUCAUUAUCUCUUCCAAUUCUCUUCAGAAAUAUACCUAGGGUUUUAUUUAAGGACAUUAAUCUUCAAAAAAUCAUCCAUAAAUCUUCAAGAAUCAAGUUCCUCAUAGUGUGGGCUUCGAGAAUUAUUUAUUAAAAGUGCGGAUAAAGUCUCAAGCACUAGAAUUUAUUCCAUUUCAAAAAUUAAGGUGCGUGGGGUUUGGAACAAGAGCAAUUCAUUCGUUCUUGUGCCUAAAGCUUUGAUUUCUAUUAUGGAUUUAUAUUAUUUUGCAAGUGCGUUUAUACCCAAAUUACAUCAUCAUGAGAUUAUGAGAAUAUAAAUUGUUCAAGCUUUGUUAUGCAUGAUUAUUUUACUAUUCCCAAGUUAUGACUUGAUAUUUGAUAUUAUGAAUUUUAUAUUUCUACCAUGAGUUGAUAUUUGAAGUGCGUUCAAGAUAUGUGUCAAGCUUUAUGCUUCCUUAUGACAAACAGGAUUAUUGAGUAUAUUUAUUCAUGAGAUUGAGUUGUUACAAUGAUUCUUGAUAUUUCCUUCAACUUAUUGAUGUUGUCAUGAUUUAAUGAAUUGAUACAUUUUGAUAUUGAGAAAGAUUGAUUUGAUUUGAGUCGAGUUAGGAAUCCACAAAUUGAUUAUGAUUUGCUAAAUGAGAAAGAGCCUUGAUUUGGUCUUCAUGAUAUACCCUUGCGAUGUUUGUACUAGAUUUCCUAACGCGUUCUGAGCUUGUGUCUGGGAGUAGUAUCUAGCACCAAGUGGAAAAUGUGGUAUUUCCCUGAAACUAUGUGCCACCGUAGGAUUGAUAGUGAUAAUUAUGGGCCAUAGGCCGAGUAUGAAAUUGUGAUCACCAAAUUUAUGCUUUACUCCCUGGCAAGAGUACGAUGCUCCCACCAAUGUGGGUUUCUCUCCUUAUGAGGGUAAAACGUUGGACUCCAUGUAGCUCAUAUGAUUUAUGUCUAUUAUAAGAACCUCCCAUGUCCAUAAGAGUUGUGUUUCUUAAAUUACCGAGUCGCUCUGAGUCUUUUAUUGAAGAGUUGAGUUAUUUAUGAUGAUUUAUGAGGUUUUUAUCAUAUGAUAUAUUUACAAUGAGAUCAUGAAAAGUAUGUUUCAAUCUAACUCAAGCCAAGUGAGCCAUCAUUGUACAUAUGCAUAUUUUUAUGAAAUUGAUGAUGAUAUUUGCAUUGUUGCAUGCAUCCCCACAUACUCAGUAUAUUCCAAAGUGUAGACCCACAUAUUUUCCUAUGGUCUAUAUUUUCUCGUAAUGUAGGUUUAGGUACUGAGUUGCAGCCGCGUUAGUUAUAUUCGAGUGCGUCAACUACGUUCCAUCAUUGGUGAGUCCUCAUCGUUCGAGGAUUGUGUCUAUAUUAUUGGUGAUAUCAUUCUGUUGUUAGCCUUUCAGUAAUGUUUGAUUCAGUUGGAGUUUGUCCCAAUGGCUCCUUGAUUUUGAUGUAUAGAGGCUUUGUCAGACUUGAGGGUUGGUAUGUACAGACAUUCAAUCUAUUUUGGUUGUACAUUCUAGUAUUCUCUAGUAUUUCUCUUGAACCCAAUGUGGUAUAUCUCUUUCUUGUGCAUGACUAUUGUUGAAUUGAAUUCAUUGAGGUAAUGUCUAGCUCCGAGGGUUAGCUAGGGGCUACGUGUAGCCCUAAGCAUCGUGUGGCAUCUCAGGAUGAAAUUUUAGGGCAUUACAAAGCUUUGUAUUAGAGCCUAAGGUUUAAGGAGUCCUAUUUAGUCUACAAGCCGUGAUACGUAGAGUCUUGAUCAUCGGUGAGUAGUGCACAUAUCUAUGAGCAAGAUACUAUAGAACAUUUUAGGAAAAUUCAUUUCUUUCUUUCUAAAGUUUAUCAUUCCUACAACUGUCUCUUUAUCUACUAUUAACUCGUGCUCUCUUAUAAAAGAGAAUGCCUCCUCGUCGAGCUUGUUGAAACAACGAGCAACCUUAACCCGUUAAUCCCUUGAAUGAGCUUGUCUCAUACAGAAUUUCGGGUAGCUUUUUAGGCGCUAGACUAGGUACUUACCGCCAAUGCUCAAGCUAACACCCAGGCUACUAUUUCACCAACGCAAGAGAAUAAUUCUGCUGCAGCUUGAGUUUAUGACCUUAUGCGGAUGAAUCCAUCUGAAUUCUAUGGGUAGAAGGUUGGUGAAGACCCAAAGAUGUACUUGGAUGAAUUGAGAAAGAUCACUUAGAUUAUGCAUGCGAUUGAGGAGGAUAGUGUUAAAUUGGUUGCCUAUCAAAUAAAAGAUGUUACAAAUGAUUGGGUAGAGAUGUGGAGGAUUAGUAGAGGAGAGGACGACUCUCCCAUGACUUGGCAGUUGUUCCAAGAUGCGUUCAUUGACAGAUUCUUUUCUCUUAAGAUAAGGGAAGAAAAUAUAGAGGAAUUCAAUUAAUUUGAGGCAAAGCUCCAUGACUGUUAAGGAAUAUUGUCUUAAAUUCAAUCAGUUAUCUAAAUAUGCUCCUAGUAUGACGGUUGACUCCAGGACCAUCUUGAGCUAGUUCAUGACUGGCGUGUCAUGUUACAUUAUGAAAGAGAGUAGAUAUGCUAUACUAAUAGGGAGAUGGAACUUUCUCGGUUGAUGAUACAUUCCCAAUAGAUUGAAGCUGAUAAGGUGAAAGAGAAGGAGAGAGUAAAAGGAAAUAAAACAGUUAGAUUAGAGUAGCAGGGAUUCAGUCAGUCCAGAUUCCAUGGAGGGAACCACCCUAUAUUUUAAGGAUGUUAUUUUAUGCCCGCACCUUCCUGAAUUAGUGCUCCCACACCUAGAAGCAGGCAGGAGCAAGGAAACAGGCCUAUCUAGUCCAGGUCUCAAGAAAGUGUAACUAACAGACCUCAACUUCCUUUAUGUGCCAGGUGUGGUACAAAUUAUUUUGGCGAGUGUUUUUUUGAUCAGAGGGGUUGUAUUAGUUGUGGCAAGUUGGGCCACCAACUUAGAGAUUUUUUGUUUGCUAGAGAGGGGAGUCGAGAUGCUCAUCCCCAGAGUCAGGCUACUAGAACCACCACUCCCGUAGUCUGCCCAGAUCCUCCUUAGGUAGCCUUAUCUAGUACUACUGGCGGUUCAUGCCAGAAUAACUUCUAUGCUAUACUUCCUCACCGAAAGUAGUAGGACUCUCCAAAUAUUGUCACUAGUAUGCUCCGUGUCUUUUACUUUGAUGUUUAUGUAUUGAUACACCUAGUUUUGAGUUUCUUUUAUUUGACACCUCUGGUUGCUGUAAAUUUUGAGAUGGACCCUAAACAGAUUCCUGAGCCUAUUUUGGUUUCUAUUUUGGUAGGAGAAUCUGUUAUUGCUAAGUGAGUGUAUAAGAAGUGUGUUGUCACUAUCCUUAAUCGAGUCAUAUGUGUUUAUUUGAUUGAUCUAGAUAUGGUUUAUUUUGUCGUCAUUCUGGGUAUGGAUUGGCUUGACUCAUGCUAUGUAUCUAUAGAUUGUCGCACCCAAGUGGUCAAGUUUCAAUUUCUUGAUGAGCCCAUUUUUGAGUGGUCCGGGAGUUUUGUAACUCCGAAGAGCAAUUUCAUAUACUACCUCAAAGCUAGGAAAUUGAUUUCCAAGGGUUGCCUCUAUCACCUAGUAUGAGUUAAAUACCUAAAGUCCAAGACUUUGACUAUUCAGUCAGUUACCAUUAUUAAUGAGUUUCCCAAUGUUUUUCUAAAAGCUCAUCCACGGGUCCCACCUGAUAGUGAAAUUGAAUUCAGGAUUGAUCUCAUUCCCAACACUCAGCCUAUUUCCAUUCCUCCAUACUGUAUGGCUCCCGUAGAACUUAAAGAGUUGAUGGAGCAACUGAAAGAUAUCUUAGACAAAGGCUUUAUCAGACCUAGUAUUUCCCCGUGUGGUGUACCUUUUCUAUUCAUACGUAAGAAAGAUGGUAUAUUGCGUAUGUACAUUGAUUACCGUCAACUCAAAAAGGUAACUAUCAAGAACAAGUACCCUCUUCCUCUAAUUGAUGCCUAGUUUGAUCAGUUACAAGGUGCGAGCUACUUCUCAAAAAUAGACCUUUGAUCCAGCUAUCAUCAGCUUAAAGUGAGAGAGGGUGAUAUUCUAAAGACAGCCUUCCAAACCUGUUAUGGUCACUUUGAGUUUCUUGUCAUGUCUUUUGGGUUAACCAACACUCCAGCAGCCUUCAUGGACCAUAUGAAUCGAGUGUUCAAGUCAUAUCUUGAUAUGUUUGUCAUUGUAUUCAUAGACGACAUUCUUGUAUAUUCCCGAAGUGAGGAUAAUCAUGCCGACCAUCUUAGAAUUGUCUUGCAAAAUAUUAGAGAUCAUCAAUUAUUUGCUAAAUUUAGCUAGUGUGAAUUUUGGCUAAGGUUAGCUGCUUUUCUGGGUCUCAUUUUUUCUGCCAAAGGCACUAGAGUCGAUCCCCAAAAGACAGAAGUUUUAAACAAUUGGCCUAGAUCUACCUCCCCAUAUGACAUUAGAAGUUUCUUGCGUCUAGCUUGUUACUACCGUUAUUUUGGUAAGGGCUUCUCUUCCAUUGCGUCAUCUAUAACCCGGUUGACACAUAAGAAAGUGAAGUUCCUUUGGUCGGAACCUUACAAUAAGAGUUUUCAGGAGUUAAAGACUAGACUCACUUCAGCCCCAGUGUUAGCUUUACCCAUUAGUACUGAUGGUUUUGUGGUGUGUUAUGACGCUUCUAAAGUUGGUUUGGGUUUUAUGUUGAUGCAGAUGGGUAAAGUUAUAGCUUAUGCCUCUAGACAGUUCAAGUCUCAAGAGAAGAAUUACCCAACCCAUGAUCUUGAAUUAGCAGUUGUAGUUUUUGCUUUGAGAUCUGGAGAUAUUAUUUGUAUAAUGUUCACGUUGAUGUGUUUACGGAUCACAAAUGACUGCAGCAUAUGUUUAUAUAAAGAGAGUUGAAUCUUAGACAAAGAAGAUGGUUAGAGUUGCUAAAAGGCUAUGAUAUGAGUUUGUUGUAUCACUUGUGCAAGGCCAAUGUUGUGGCAGAUUCUCUUAGAAGGUUGUCUAUGGGUAGUGUAUCUCAUGUAGAGAAUGAUAAGAAAGAAUAGGUUCAUGAUACAAAUCAUUUGGCUAGGUUAGGUGUUAGAUUACUUGAUUCUACCGAAGGGAUUAUGUUCAUUUAGAGUAGUUUCAAGUCCUCUUUGGCCUCAGAGGUAAAGGAGAAGCAAGACAGGGAUCCUAGUUUGGUCAGACUGAAGGAGACAGUUAAGGACCAAAAGGUAGAGGUUUUCUCCCAAGAGGGAGAUGGUAUGUUGACAUUGCAGGAUAGAUUAUGUGUUCCUGAUGUUGAUGAUCUAAGGAAGAGAAUUAUUGAUAAAGUGUAUGGCAUACGAUAUUGCAUUCAUCCUGGUGCUACCAAGAUGUACUGCGAUUUGCGGGAAAUCUAUGGGUGGAACGAUAUGAAGAAAGACAUAGCAGGAUUUAUGGCAAAGUGGUCUACUUGUCAACAGGUUAAGGUAGAGCACCAAAGGCCCUGUGGUGUAAUGAAAGAGUUUAGCAUUCCUACUUUUAAGUGGAAAGAAAUGACUAUGGAUUUCUUAAUUGGUUUGCCUCCUUCUCAUCAUCAUCAUGAUUUGAUUUGGGUUGUUAUAGACUGGUUGACUAAGUUAGUUCAUUUCUUACUAGUGUAUUCGUCUUAUACAGCUGAGGAUUAUGCUAGAUUGUAUAUUCAAGAAUUCGUUAGACUUCAUGGAGUUCUUUAGUCUAUUAUCUCCGAUAGGGGUACUUAGUUUACUUCCCAGUUUUGAAGAGCUUUUCAGAAGGGUCUUGGUACCCAUGUUCAUUUAAGUUUUGCUUUCAAUCCAAAAACAGAUGGUCAGCUUGAGCAGACUAUUCAAACAUUAGAAAAUAUGCUGAGGGUAUAUGCACUUGAUUUUAAAGGUAGUUGGGAUGAGCACUUACCAUUGAUCGAAUUUACCUAUAACAAUAGUUUCCAUGCUAGUAUUCAGAUGGCCCCAUUCGAAGCUUUGUAUGAGAGAAGAUAUAGAUCACCUAUAGGUUGGUUUGAAGUAGGAGAAGCAGAUGUGAUUGGGCCUGAUGCCGUAUUCGAGGCUAUAAAAAAGUUAAGUUGAUCUGAGAAAGAUUGAAGACCGCUCAAAGUCGUCAGAAGUCAUAUGCGGAUGUGAGGAGAAAAUAUCUUGAGAUUAAUGUAGAUGAUUUGGUGUACUUGAAGGUUUCACCCAUGAAAGGGGUGAAGAGUUUUGGAAAGAAGGGAAGGCUUAGUCCCAGUUAUGUUGGUUCAUAUGGGAUUCUGAGCCGUGUUGGGAAAGUAGCAUAUGAUGAGGAGUUACCCAUGGAGUUGUCUAGCGUUCAUCCGGUAUUUAAUGUUUCCAUACUUAAGAAGUGUAUUGGUGAUCCUUUCGUGGUUGAUCCUUCCGAAAGCUUAGAUAUUCAGGAUAGCCUUUCAUUUGUGGAGUUUCCAGUUCAGAUUUUGGAUUUUCAAAUCAGUAGGCUUUUCAAAUCAGUAGGCUAAGGAACAAAGAAGUUUCUUUUGUUAAAGUGCUUUGGCUAAAUCAAUCAUUUAAGGGUGCUACUUGGGAAGCAGAAGCUAAUAUGUGAGCCACGUACCCUCACCUCUUUUUUAUGAGUUUGGAGCAAGCAGAAGGUACCAUUCUUUCUUAAUUCUGCCCUAUUCUUAUAAAAUAUUCAGCUAUGUGUCUACUUCCAUCUCGAAUUAGUGCAUUUUGUAGGGUAUCCGAAGUUAUAGAGUGAAGCUAUUCCUUUGAGUGAGUCGUUACAGCUAUACGUCCUCAUUUUCUCUUGUUCUUGGUCUAUAUGGCAACAUUCGAGGAUGAAUGUUUCCAAGGGGGAGAUAUUGUAAUACCCUGAGACUCUAACCAAUAGUGCAACCAUGAAUCAAGCUCAUGAGAAGUAAAUUGUAGUGGUUUUUAUUUUUUUUUAUCAAGGGUGAUAUGUAUUAAGGCCUCAAAGAUAUCCUAGCGAUUAGGUGAAUCAAAACAUUCCUUAUCGAUUAAAUUCUUGGGAAGGAUAUUGCCAUAUUAAACUUCAAAUAAGAAUGUUUCUCUUGAUACUAUGAUUUAUUGAGGUCAUAACCUACCAAAAGAUAGAUAAUUGAAUUAGAUUUCCAACGAUACAAAUUUUGACAAAAUUUGAUAUCGGAGCAAAGGGUUAUGCCCAUUUUACUCCAGCAUAUCAGCCUAGAAAUUUCGUGAUGACAUUUAGUGACGAUUUGUCACAAGCUUGAUGGCUUGUCACAAAAUGUCGACCAUAAGCAGAAAAUCACAAAAUCGAACAUUUUAUGAUGACAUUUUGUGAUGACUUGUCACAAGUUUGACGGCUUAUCACAAAAUAUCAUCAACCUUAAGCAAAAAAUCAAAAAAUCCACCAUUUUGUGACGACAUUUCGUGAUGACUUGUCACAAGUCUGGCGACUUGUCGCGAAUGUCGUCAGCUAUUUUCUUAAGCAAUUAAAGAACGUUUUUGCAAGGGUAUUUUGAUCUUUUCUCAAAUUUUGGAGGCCCUAUAUAUAUGAGAAUUCCCAUCUAUACCCUAAUUUCUUCAUUAUCACUGCCAAUUAUCUUAAUAAAUAUAUCUAGGAUUUUUAUUUAAGGACAUUAAUCUUCCAAAAAUCAUACAUAAAUUUCAAUAUUUCUUCAAGAAUCAAGUUCCUCAUAGUGUGGGCUUCGAGAAUCAUUUAUUACAAGUGCGGAUAUAGUCUCAAGCACUAGAAUUCAUCUAAUUUCAAAGAUUAAGGUAUGCAGGGAUUUGAACAAGAGCAAUUCUUUCGUUCUUGUUCCCAAAGCUUUGAUUUCUAUCAUGGAUUUGUAUGAUUUUGCAAGUGGGUUUAUACCCAAAUUACUUCAUCAUGAGAUUAUGAGAAUAUAAAUUAUUCAAUCUUUGUUAUACAUGAUUAUUUUCCUAUUCCCAAGUUAUGACUUGAUAUUUAAUAUUUUGAAUUUCAUAUUUCUACCAUGAAUUGAUAUUUCAAGUGCUUUCAAGAUAUGUGUCAAGAUUUAAGAUUUCUUAUGACAAGCUGGAUUAUUGAGUAUAUUGAUUCAUGAGAUUGAGUUGUUACAAUAAGUCUUGAUAUUUCCUCAAAGUUAUUGAUUCUUUCAUGAUUUAAUGAAUUGAUAUAUUUUGAUAUUGAGAAAGAUUCAUUUGAUUUGAGAUGAGUUAGGAAUUCACAAAUUGAUUAUGAUGUGAUAAAUGAGAAAGAGAUUAAUUUGGUCUUCAUGAUAAACCCUUGUGAUGUUUGUAGUGGAUUUCUUAACGCAUUCUGAGGUUGUGUCUGGGAGUAGUAUUUAGCCCCGAGUGGGAAAUAUGUUAUUUCCCCAAAACUACGUGCCACCGUAGGAUUGAUAUUGAUAAUUAUGGGCCAGAGGCUGAGUAUGAGAUUGUCAUCACUAAAUUUAGGUUGUACUCCCUGGAAAGAGUAUGUUACUCCCGCCAAUGUAGGGUUCUCUCCUUAGGCGGGCAAAAUGUUGGACUCCUUGUAGCUCACAUGGAUUCUCAGUUGUAAGAACCUACCAUGUCCAUAAGAGUUGAGUUUCUUAAAUUACCGAGUCACUCCGAGUCUUGAGUUGAAGAGUUGAGUUAUUUAUGAUGAUUUAUGAGGUUUUUAUCAUAUGAUUUAUUUACUAUGAGAUCAUGAAAAGUAUGUUUCAAUCUAACUCAAGCCAAGUGAGCCAUCAUUGUACAUAUGCAUAUUUUUAAUAAAUUGAUUAUGAUAUUUGCAUUGCUGCAUGCAUCACCACAUACUCAGUACAUUCAAAAGUGUUGACCCAUAUAUUUUCGUAUGGGCUACACUUUCUCAUAACUUAGGUUCAGUUACUCAGCCGCAGCCGCGUUAGUGAUAUUCAAGUACCUAAACUAUGUUCCCUCAGUGGUGAGUCCUCAUGGUUCAAGAUCCAUGUCUAUAUUUUUGGUGAUAUUAUUUUGUUUUUAUGGCUUUAAGUACUAUUUGAGGUAGGGGGUUGGUCCCAAUGGCUUAUUGAUUUUGAUGUAUAGAGGCUUUGUCAGACUAGAGGGUUGGUAUGUAUACACAUUCAAUAUAUUUUGGUUUUAAAGUCUAGUAUUCUCCAGUAUUUCUCUUGAAACCGAUGUGAUAUAUCUCUUUGUUGUGCAUGACUAUUGUUGAAUUAAAUUACUUGAGGUAGUUUCUGGCUCUGAGGGUUAUCUUGGGGCUACAUGUAUCCCUAAGAACUGUACGGCAUCUCAAAAUAAAAUUUUGGGGCGUUACAUGAUGACUACUGAGUACCCCUUGUUUUGGUAGUCAAACUAUACUUUUGUACCAUUUUGGUGCAAAUCUGAGUUCUUUUUGUCGUUGAUCAUCGAGGUAAUUGGAAUGAUGUAAAGGACAAAUUCUUCAAGUGUGGCCAGGCAAGCCAUCACCUCAAGAAUUGUAUGGUUAAUAAACUUGCAAUGGGGGCGAAUUGUAUUCCUGUGUCUUGAUCUUCUUCUCCAACACUUUUUUCAUGUGGCAUAUACUUCUAUUAUUGAUCUUGGUUCUAGCGUUUUCUGGAAUAGGAUGAAUGCUUUACCAUCCUAACAGGAAUCUGUGGCAUCACCUGAUGUUGUUACUAGUAUGUUAUAGUUUUUCUCUCAUGAUGUAUAUUAUUUACUGAAUCUGGGGUCUGCUCUCUCCUAUGUGACUUCUUAUAUGGCUAUGUAAAUUUUGGAUCCCUUAUUUAUUUCUACCCCAAUAGGUGACUCGAUUAUUGCUAAGAGAAUCUAAAGGGCGUGUGGCAUCUUUUUGUGGAACAAAAACCUUUUUGGAUCUAGUAUAGUUGGAUAUAGUGGAUUUCAAUGUCAUUCUAGGUAUGGAUUAAUCCUUGGAUUGUCAUACCUAUACAGUUAUCUUUAGGUUUCCUGGUGAAUCAGUUAUAGAGAGGAAGGGUGCUUCUUAAGCUCCUAGCUAGAGAUUUACUUUUUAUCUUAAAGGUUGGAGUUUAAUCUCUAAAGGUUGACCUUAUCACAUAUUUUCAGUUAAAGAUUCUAACUCGGAAGGUCCUUCUUUCAAGUCAUCUCCAGUGGUAAUAUAUUUCGAGAGGUCUUCUCGGAUGAUCUUCCUGGUAUUCAUUCAGAUAGGGAAAUAAAGUUUGGUAUUGAUUUAAUUCUUGACACUCAUUCAAUUUCUAUUCCUUCGUAUUGAAUGGCUUCACUAGAGUUGGGGAAACACAAGGAGCAACUUAUGGAUCUUUUGGAUAAGGGGUUUAUUCAUCCUAGUGUAUCUCCUUGUGGUGGACCAGUUUGUUUUUGUGCAAGAAGGAUGGUUCCCUUCGGAUGUUCAUUGAAUAUAGGUAGUUGAACAAGGUGAUGGUCAAGAAUAAGUAUCCUCUUCCAAUGAUAGAUGAUCUAUUUUACUAGGUGCAAGGAACCAAGUUCUUUUCUAAAGUAGAUCUUCGAUAUGGGUACCAUUAGCUAAAGAUUAAGGAGGUGGAUAUCCCCUAGAUGACUUUUUGUUCUAAGUAUGGGCACCUUGAGUUCUCUUUGAUUUCAUUUGGGUUGAAUAAUGCUCCAGUAUCAGUUUUAGAUCUAAUGAACAAAGUUUUCAAUUAGUAUUUAGAUCACUUCAUCAUUGUGUUCAUUGAUGACAUUAUGGUUUAUUUGACGAGUAAUGUGGACCAUGUGUAACGCCCCAAAUCAGGUACCUGGAAUACUACACGGGGCUCAUGACCCCGAAAGACAACAAGCUAACCCAUGACUUAUAUUUGUACUUAUAUACUUCAUAAAAUACUUUAUAAGGUGGAAAUAUGAACUGAAAGUCCAUAUGGUUUAGUACUGAACAUGAUAUGAAUAAUAUAACAUCUUUGUGGGGUAAUAGAAUAUCCAAAACAAAACUGAACAUACUGAAGUCUAAAACAUGACAGUCUAGAAAGCCUCUAACUGACGGAACUGUCUGAUUUAGGGGUUGAGGGAACAUGUCCAUAACUAACUACAACUAAUAAACUGAUUAAUUAGAUAAUAGGGAAAUAAUCAUUCCUUGAAAGACGAGGACUCAUUCUAACUUUAUCUGUGGAUAUCUGGAAUCUACUGUCGCUCUGGAGCUCGUGUCUCUGAAUCUAUGGUAUAAGACACCAUAGCAUAAAUGGAUAAGUACUUUGAAUGUACUGGUAUACAUGUAAGGUAGGCUGAAUGCAUGGGGUUUAUAUGCAUGAACAAUAAUAAUAACAGACUUUUUGUCAUGAGUGUGAGAAUACAUGCAUGAGAUAUAACAACUGACACUAAUAUUAUGAUAACAUAAUUACUGAAUCUGAAUUUAAUUGAUAACUUAAGCGACUAUAUUUGACAAUCCUAAAUUUGAUUGAACGAUUUGAGUUUCGUACUAUAUUUGAGUUGACUGUAUCUGAGAGUCCUAAAUUCUGAAGAACUAUCUGAGUUCUUUUACUAGGACUGUAGGAAGUAGUUAUCUAACCGACAUGCUCCUGAUAUGCCCUUAUGGAAGAGUUGGAGUCCAAUCUGUAACACCAAUAAGAAGGGUGUCAAUAUAGCGCCACUAGCAAGGAUAAGCUAUAGGCGAACCUUGUCUGAUAGUGUCCCCUUUUUGAGAAUGGUGGGGCUCUUAUCUGACAGUGCUUACUAACCUCAUCAACCCUCACCCAUAGUGUUGAUGUCUCAACCUAUACUGGCUACGUAGUUCUGGAAUGCAAGGAUGACUACUCGAGAUAACACUCCUAUCUGAUAGUGUGUGUCCUCAUCAUUGGGUUCAUUCGGUGCUAGUUUCUACUCCCAUCCAGAUGGACACUAAACAUGAUUUAUUGAACUGAACAUGAGCUGAUUUAUUGAAUUCCGUUGACUAAAGAAAUACAACUGAUAUCUGACAACUGACUGAGUUCAUGAGAUCAUGGAGAUUUCCUGAGUCAUAAGAGUUUCUGAAGUCUAAGGAUUCGUAGCUUGAAUGAGAGUAUCGUGAAAACAUGAUAUGGCUCUAGGCACGCAGCUAAUGUUUUUGGUACAAGUACCCCCAUGACUAGAUGGAAGGAAACUGACCAAGUAUAACUUACUUGAAUAUAUAUAACUAACAUCAUAAUGCAUAAUACAUUUAUAGAAACAUUUCAUCAAAACAUAUAAUAGGAAUAACUUGUACAUACAUGUGGAUUUCAUGGUUUUAGUCUAGUUAGGAACUUUUCCUUCAUCUAGGCAUUUAAUCAAACAUAUUGUACGUAUGGUACAUGUAAACAUCAUUGUAUAAUAACUAAACAUCAUGGAUCCAUUCUAGUUUCAUCAUUCAAGGGUUUAGUCAUUAGUUUGCAUGAAUCUAUAUCUAUAAUAAUUUAACCCACAUAGAAUUUAUCAUACAACAUAGAGUAAAAUUCAAUUUCUCAUUAUCUACAUGAACAAGAGCAGCCCAAUCAUGAAAUUCAUAAGAAAAUCCAUAAACUUGAAUUUAAAAAAGGGAUUUUUGGGCUUCGUGGGAGAAAGGAGUGGAAGAAUGAACAGUAUGCAUAGCUUAGUUUGUGAUUUCAUGAAGAUUGAUGGUGAAACCUUCUUUAAUUCAAAUCCCCAAUAAAAACCCUAGCGUGUUAUUGAGAGAAGCUUAAGAGAAACUAGUAUAUUUUGGGUGAAAAGUGUCUGAAUCACUUGUUAAAGGGCUUAAAUAGGGGUGGGAAGUUGACCCUUUCAACCCUGGACGUGUCAUUUAAUUUCAGUAAAAAAAAAUUCGAAUUAGAUCCUUUGGCACAACACAGCGCUAUAGCACCGAGUCAUUAGAUUUUGACAAUUGGGAAAUUAAGGGAUGGCGCAACGUACGGCUAUCGCAUUGCCACUUCCUUUGUGACAUAAAUCUUUGGCGCGACGGGGGGGAAAUCGUACUGAUACACUGGAAAAUGGAAAAUUCUGAAUUUGGACACUAGCACGAAGUGCCCUAAUCACGAACACCUACUGCAAUUUUUCAAAUGUCAUUUUCUCUUGUGGCGUGGCACGCCACUAACUAAUAUGGCACUAUUUUACGAUGGAAACUUGAAAUAGCUGUAACUUCUGACUUGAUUAUCAUAUUUUGGUGAAUCUUAUAUCAAUGGAAAGCUUAUUGUAUUUCUCACAUGACAAAAAGUGAAAAUAUUUGAAAUUCCUCAAGGAAUAAUAAUAAUUAAAUUUAUAAGCUAAUACUAGACAUUCUUAAGAUGAGAUUAGCUAGGAAAAAGUAUGUGGUAUUACACAAAUCUAAUCAUCACCAUAUGGUGUUGAAAACCUUAAUGGAACAACAAUUGUCUACUAACUUCUCCAAGUGUGAGUUUUGGUUGAACGCUAUAAAUUUCUUGGGUAAUUUUAUUUCUAGUGAGGGGAUCAUUGUGGAUCUGCACAAAGUUGUUGUGGGUAAGAGAUGGCCUAGACAUAUGCCUCCAUCCAACAUUUGGAGCAUCUUGGGUUUAGCCGGGUACUAUAGGUGGUUUAUAAAAAUUAAGAGUGAUGUUGGUGGGAAAAAGUUUGUGGUGUUUUAGAUCAGUGGUGAUGGUUCUUAACGGUACCAAGGAAGGUUGUGUGUUCCUGAUGUUAAUAAGUUGCGAUAAAGGAUUUUGGUUGAGGUGUAUGAGUUACGCCAUGUUGUUCAUCCUACCUUGACUAAGAUGUAUCAUGAUCUCAAGGAUAUCUAUUAGAGGAACUGCAUAAAGAAAGAUGCGGCUGAUUUUGUAGCUAAGUACAUGGUGUGUCAACUAGUUAAGGUUGAGCACAUGAGGCCAAGACGGUUGUAUCAAAAAAUUGUUUUACCUGAGUGGAAUUGGGAAGUGAUAAACAUGGACUUUCUUACAGGCCUUCCUGGGUCUCGGAGUCAAUGUUAUUCAAUUUGGCUCAUCAUGGAUAGGAUGACUAAGUCUGCGCACUUUUUUCCAUUGUGGACUACCUUCUUGACGGAGGAUUAUGCAAAGUUGUACCUUGAAGAGAUAGUAAAGAUGCAUGUAGUGCCUAUUUCAAUUAUUUUUUAUCGUGGCACAUAAUUUAUGUCUCACUUUUUGUGGUCUUUUCAGAGAUAGUUGUGGACCAAAGUGAGUCUAAGUACUUUUUAAUCCACAGACGGAGGGACAAGUAAAAGGAUCUAUUAAAAUAUUGGAGGAUAUGGUUCGGGCCUUGGUGAUUGAUUAUGGGGGAAAUUGGGUUGAUUAUCUACCUUCGAUAGAGUUUUAUCACAACAACAGCUAUCAUUCUAAUAUUGGUAUAUCCCCUUUUGAGGCAUGGUAUUGUAGAAGGUGAAUAUCUCCUAUUGGUUGGUUUGAGCUUAUUAAGGCGGACAUGCUUGGCCCUGAUUUGAUUUACCAGGCUAUGGAGAAGGUGAAGGUGAUUCGGCAGAGGCAUAAGGCUGUCCAAAGUCACUAAAAGUCCUAUGUGGAUAUUAGGCAAAGAGACUUGGACUUUGAGUUAGGGAUAAGGUUUUUAUCAAGGUAUCUCCAAUGAAGGGAGUAAUGCAGUUUAGCAAGAAAGGGAAGCUCAAUCUCCAGUAUGUGAUUCCUUAUGAGAUUUUUUGUAAAGUUGGUAAUAUUGCUUAUGAGCUGGAGUUGCAUUCAAUUUUUAUAAUGGUUCAUCCGGUUUUUCAUGUUUCCAUGUUAAGGAAGUGCAUUGGUGAUCCUUCUUCAAUUGUUUCAUUGGAAGGAUUGGGAAUCACAGAUUCUUUAUCUUAUGAAGAAGUCCCGGUUGAGAUCUUGAAAAGAUAGGUUCAUUUGUUGUGAACCAAGGAUUUAGCUUCUGUUAAGGUUCUUUGGUGAAGCUAUAAGGUGGAAGAAGUUAUAUGGGAAGCAGAACAGGAAAAGAAGUCAAAAUAUUUGUAUUUGUUUUCUUCUCAUGGGAUUCGCGUGGAAGAUGUGUUUCUUCAACACAUCUUUACUUCCAGAGUUAUUUAAAGGAAAGAUUUAUAUUUUUGCCUCUUUUCAUUUGUACAUUGUUAAAGAUUAGGAAUAAAUUUGAUGAUGAAAAUGACUUUUGCGUCUAUUUACCCCUACCUUGUCCAUCAUUUAGGGAUCAAUGUUCCUAGUGGGGGAGACUAAAAUACCCUAGUUUCUGGACCUUAGAAAAUUUCCUUGAAUUUUGAUCUCUGAACUCAAUACAACUCAUAGGUACGACCUAUAUGCUGGGGUACAGGUAGUAUGGUCCAGUCUCAAACUUUCCAGUGUUGGUCUAUGGGAUGGAUUUUUGUUACUGUAAUUGGUAUGACUUAGGGGUACAAGUCAUAUUGGUUUUUAUGAAUCAUUUGGUUCCUUAACUUAAUCUAAAACUUGGUACUUAGGUUGGAUCUGAAUAUGAGAAGCUCUGAGCCUUAAGCCAUGGUAUGAGUCGUACCCACGACUCAGAUGGUAAUAGUUCUUAAUCCUCCUUAUAUUUUAUUCUACUAGGGAUACGAGUUAUGGAUAUCGAUCAUAUGCUGUGGUUACAACUUUGUUGUAUGAUUCAUAUACUACAUAGUAUUUGGUCCAAGGGUGGAGGUUCUGGAUACAAGUGGUGGAUGCCAAUUGUAUUAGAGGGUAUGACUCGUGUGGAUCAGUCGUAUACAUGUGAUAGGAUUUAGGUAAAACUUAAGUAGGGGUAUUCUGUACAUUUCCCCACUUAACUUAAAAGGGUCAUAUGAUUUCUAACCUACAUAGGAGGUAAUUUACUCUAUUAUUUUAUUCAUUAAUACUCAGAAAAUAUUUCUAAACACCACAUAAUUCUCUCAAGAGCUUUUGGGAAAGCGAAACUAGGGUUUCAAAUAAAGGAUCAAUUUGGGGAUUGUCUUGGGGAUUUCUUUUCAUCAUCAUCUUGGUUUAAGGCAUGUUCUCUUCCCUCAUUAUUAAUUUACACAGAGUCAUGGGUUAUAUGAAUGUUUAUAUGUUUUUACCAUUACAUGAUUUUAGUUUUCAAAUAUGAUUUGGGUGUUUUGAUGUUAAAUGGUUGAUUAUGGUUUCCUAUGAUUUAAUUAUGGUUUUAUAUGAUUAAUUGUGGUUUUGGAUAAUUGGAUUUCAUGGGAAUGGUAUAUUGGUUGUUGGAAUUGGUUUUGGUCAUAUUAUACCAUCAACGUGUUUGACAAAAUGUUUAUAAAGAUAUGUUCAUUGCAUUGACCUGUUUGAAUGGAAUUCUUGCAUGUUUUAAACUUGGUAAAAGAAUUAUGCAUGAUUUAAAUGUCUUGGAAUGGUAAAAGGCUAAUUGAUUAUGCUUUUGGGUAACAUGGAAGUCUCUCAAGUGGUUUAAUAUGUUAAAUGGAAGGGCAAUUAAAGUCCCCUUACACCUAUAAAUAGUUGGCUAUGGAUGAUACUUACAAUUAAGGGUUGGUAUGACGAUACCAAUAUCAAUGGCCUUAGUUGAUAAAUGGAUAAUUGUUUGGUUAUUUAAUAAUUGGUUUUAAUUUAGAAAUAAUGUAGAAGGUGUAGCUAAGCCCUGGAAGUUAGAGGUCCCCGUGGGAUAAAAACUGGAAAAUUAUAUUUGUCGAUAUAAGGUUAGUCUUGAUUACUGUGGACAUGGUGUCAUAAUAUAUUAGGGGGAUGUACUAGUCAUCCCAAGGGAUACUUCCUAAGUCAUGUGGCUAUAUGUAAUAGGGCCCUUUCAACAGGGGGAGCGGAACCCAUAUAGCCCGUAGGUGGUUGAGGAAGGAGCUGCACAACAUAUGUAAAGGGCUUAAAGUCAUGCUAAACCCGGUCCUUUUUUGGGCAUGAUUAUAUAUAUAUAUAUAUAUAUAUAUAUAUAUGUGUAUGUAUGGUUAUAUGUAUAUGGAUGGAUUUACAUUGUUUUAUAAAUGGAAUUUUUUUGUCCUUACCUUGAGAUCAUCUUAGCAGUUACUCGCUAACCCUGUCUACUGGUGGUUGUAUACUCACACUAUGAAUGAACCAGUCGUUCUACUCAUCCUACAUUAUAUUUUACUUGGUAACACUAUUUAGACUGAAGUUGUGAGAUUCCAUUUUUUAGAAGGCUCCAUUUCGUGUUAUGGAUAUUUCUACAUAUUAUGGUUUUAUAUUUGAUAUUGGUUUUUCAUAUAGUUGGGGGCAUGGCCCAACUGGAUUUCAUUAAUCUUUUUGUUAUAGGAUUUGGGGUACUUCUAUAGGUUCAAAUAUGCGGGAUUGGUAUAAGUGUUAUCCUUGGCAUUGGAAUAAGCUGAAUGGCUGACAUCAUCGGAAUAUAUUGUUGGUUAGUCCAUCCUAUUUCAUUAUGGGAAUGAUUAUAACUUGUUUUGGAAGAACUUUGGUUAUCGCCUUUUUUAUGUCUUUUUUCAUAUGAUUUUGUAUGGUUGGAUUAUUGGAUUAUUGGUAAAGGAUGAUCGGACUCGGUUUUGUUGGUCACAGUUGUGAUGUAUUCGCCGAGACUUUAUAUGAGCUAUCCCAUUAUUUUAUUAUAUGUUCAGAAUUUAAUCAACUUAGGGAAGACGACUAUAGGUUGAGUUUGUGAUCUAUUCCCUGAGCCUUUAUAUGAGCUAUUACAUUAUUUUAUUAUAUGUUUGGAAUUUAGCCAACUUAGGGCAGACGGCUGGAGGUUGGGUUGGAUAACAAGGGUCGUCUUUGUUCCUGAUCAGACAUGGGAUGCCUACUAUGAUAAUGCCCCAUGCCGGGUUAUAUCAAUUAUCGGCAUUGAAGUACCACGAAUUAUAGUUAUUCAUUUAAUCUCUAAAUCCAUACGUAAAAAGUUUAGUACGAGAGUUGUAUGAGGCUUAAGGGAAGAUAUUUCCAGUCAUGAUAAAGAUAGAAUGAAAUGAAACCAUAGCUUUUGUGAAAGUUUGUGUGGUAAAUGUUUGGUGUGAUGAACUAUUAUAUACCACAUGUCUUGAUAAAAACCCUAAAGUUUACAAACUCAGCACAAGGGUAGUGAAGCAAGAUAUCGAAUUACAGGGUUGGCUAGCCCCUUUAUUGAGUGAUGGUCCACCUCUAUGUCUUAUACUAGAAGGAAAUAUUAAAAAAAGGAUAUCAAUUUAGAGGCUCGGUAUUGGUUGAGUUUUAUAUGCAGUAAUCUCAUGGCAUCGCAUAAUUAAAUAAUUUUUUUACACCUUUGUGAAGUGCUUGUGGGAUAACUAUAGUGAAAGAGAGUUUCAACCUUGCUUCAGUUAUUGCCCAAACCAUUGAUUUUUGAGCCUAAUAAAAUCUAAUAUGUCUUUCCUUCCCUUGAUUGAUUAUUGAGUUGUGUCUCUGUACUAUGCUUCCCUUUAAUAAGAAAAAGGAUUUUGUGUACACUUCUACCUCUACAAUUGAAAUCAUUAGAUUUGAUGUAGUGUAAGAAGUUAAGAAUAAGAAAAUCUUGGUGGAUGAUUACCAAACAAUUGACAUUGAUUCCAUUGAUAGUUAUGCCAGCUAGUCCACUCUUACUACUAUUGUUCCUACACCUCUAGGUUUCUCCAUAGGUCUACCCAACAUAGCUUUCUAGACCUGCUGCUUUUGUACCUUGCCCAUCCACUAAUCUAAGCAUAUCAAGCGCCCUAUAGACUCAUGUUGAAAUUAUCCGAUUGGGAAUGCCAUCUAGAUUCGAGCAGAAGAUCCCUCGGAUGAUUGAUAAUUUAAUGAAAGCUUCCAUGGUGCUAUUUCAUGAAGAUUUAGGGGGGUACUCAUAAGAAAGUAAGAAUAUAUUGAACAAAGAUAGACCAGCUGAGUGCUCCACAGCUUGUGUUCUAGGUAGUAUGUUGCUGCAGAUACAAGCUGAGCCUAUCUCCCUCAAAUAGCAUAUAAAUGACCUCUAGUUCCUAGAUUAAUUAGACUUAUAUGGUAUUUUGGAUUAUACACGAACUCCACCACCUAUUCAUAAUGAUGGUCCAGUCACAUGAGAGAAUGAGGUGUAUAACUAAUAGCAUCCUUUUGAUAAUAAGGAUAUUGCAGAGCCUUGCUUGAUACUUAGUUUUAUAGGCAUAUAUAGGUUAGUACAUUGUUUGAGGUCAGGGUUGAGGAGCAAAUUGAUGUUCAAACUGAUAGGCAAGUUGUUGAGGAUGUUAUAUAUUUAUCCACUUUGGAGAGGUUUACUUGAAAUAACCUAGAUAAGGACCUCCAAUUCAGUUGCUACUACAUAGACCAAGGAAAAAGUAGUAGAUCCACCCCUACAGACCAUACAUGGGACUAAGACAAGAAUUGAUGCCCAGAUAGAGGUUUCUCUAGUAAGCCAAUAAUUACCACAAGGUCAUUUUUAUUUAUUUCUCUAAGUCUUAUUUCCAUAUGUUCUAGCCAAUUUGUUUAAUUUUGGCGUGUUACUUUUAUUUAAUUUGGAUGAUGUUUUGGAUAUAUUUUAUUUGGGUUGAAAUAUUUAUAUUUAUUGUUUGGAUUUUCUUUAAAUUUAGUGUGUUAUUUUUCACUUUCAUUUCCUUACUUUAAAUUUUUAUUUAAGCUUAGUUGCAAAUAAAAUUUUUUGGCAUACAUACUUAAGAGAAAAGUGUACUAAAAAUAGAACAUUUUGACUAAAAUGGUACUGAUGGGGAGAUGUUUUAAAUGAAGAACUCCUAGAAAUGAUUAAUCAUGGUGAAUUUCUCCAUUUUUAAUAAAAAUUCUUUGGUUUAGUUGAACAAUUUAGGCGUUCAUUAUUAAAUUUUUUAUGUGUUAAGAAUGUGGUACAUCAACUGAGGAAGGGUGAUUUAAGUAUACGAUUAAGUUCCAUGUGUGGGUAAGGAUUCAACUUGAUCUUGCCCAUCCAGUCCACCUAGAACUUUUCCUUUUGCUCCAUAAUAAUGCAAGUAGUGUGCAAUGUUUUAAAAGAGAUCUCAGGCUAUUUAUUGAUAGUGAACCCUCAAUUUUACCAAAUUAGCCUUCCCAUGGUGUGUUGACUGUCCAAUUUUUUCAUUAAUUUGUGCUUUGCAGACAUUUUUCUUGGAUAACCUUAUUAUAAUAUGAAAGCCUUCUUCCAUAAGUCUGUCUCUUAAACCAAACACUUCUUGAAACAUCUAGGUAAGGUUGAAUAUAAAAAUAAUCCAAAAUCCUAUGUUGGGUGUAGAGUAUCUUUUUGGGGUUAGUCGUGUGAUCGAUAGUUCAUAAUGUGGGGACAAUUUACUUACUAACCUAAUUAUCGUUGUUUCCUUUUUAAAUACAUAAAAAAUGAGAAAAGCUUUUAAAAGAAAUGAAAAACGAGUUGUAAAUGUGUUUAAAGUUUUUAUAUACUUGAAGUAUAACAAUGUUAAAUGAUAGGAGGAGGAAGAUAGCUUCAAAAUUUGGAGAAUUGUUCCUUGGAGUUGUAAGACGAAAGUUUUGUGAAAAAAAGUGUAAUUAGGUUUCUUUAGAUGCUUAAUAGGGAUAGAGACACUAUAACCUUAACCUUCUCUAACUUACCUGUUAGUGACAAUACAAGUAAAAGUAAAAUCAGAGUGAUCUCCAACGUCGCAUGCUUGUAUGUUGUGAAGUAGAGAUUAUGGGCAAACCUAUGGUGUCGUACUCAUGUUCAUGAUUAUUUUUUAGAGAGCUAGUGAUUCUUUGUUUUAAUGUUUAUAGGUUUGUGAGUGAACAAACUUCUUCGUGUAAGGGAACUUCAUUCAAAUACUUGAUCUCUCUGUUCUUAGUUGGAAUAUAUGAGCAUAUGCGUGGUUCAUAAUAUUAAGUCACCAUGUGAGGCUUGUUGGCCACAAAUUGACUAUUUGAAAGGUGAGACUUGUAUUGUUUAAAAAUUAUAAGGGAAAAGUGUUUUCACAAAAGAAAUAUGGGUCUAAGAUCCAAAAUAUUAGAUUUUAUAUGUAUUGCUGAUUUUUUUUCGUGUGUGCAUUGAUUUAAUUAUAGAUGAGGGAAGAUUUAAGUUAGGGUGUUAUUGAGUCAGAAAUUUGCAACUAAUUUGGCCUAAAAAUGGUAAGAAAUGAAGUACUUAAAUCUUCCCUCAUCUAUGAUUAAAUCAAUGCGCACACAAAAAAGGGAUUGUAACUCAAGUACUUUAAUUGUUGCUUUAGUUCAUUUUCAACGUACGAGCUAAGAAGGGAUUGUAAUAGUAAACAAAAUAAAAAAAAAAGAUAAAAAAGAUGUUAGAUUCAAGUACAAAGUGCAAGGAUCAUCGCCAAAGAAAAUUGUCACAUUGCAAAAAGUGAUUGUUCAACAAAAUAUCAAUUCAUGUAGUUCAGCGAUAAAGAAUAAUAAUUUGGUGUAUCAUCAAGAAGAUCAACAGAGCAGCUCUCCAUCACUAAAAGUUAUAAAAGACAACCCAUGAAGCUUAAAGAUAAUACCUUUUAGCGAAGCAAGUAAAUUUUUUUGUGUCACUGAGUUUAUCAGCGAUGGUGUGGUCAUCUGCCGAAUUGAAUGUAGUGGAAUCUCUAUAAUUUAUCAGCCUACUUUUGUUGAAGAUAUAAAAGCUUUUUUGAUAGCUUGACCCCUACAUUUUGUCAUAUCUUUAAUCAAAAUCUUGUAAUUGAAACCCUAAUUGGAAUCUUAGUUGAUGUUUCUUAUUUAUUUAUUGGAAUUUUAUAUACAUUUUAAAGUAUUUGUUUUUUAUGGUAUAUUGGAAAGAGGAUAUAGUUAUAUCUCCUUUUUAAAUUGUCAUGGACAACAAAUUUCCCAUGCAUAGGGUUAUGCAUUACUAAGUGUUGAUUACUGUAUGGAUAGUGAUUACUUACCAUUUUAUUAGAUUGAAUAUUAUUAUUUUAGCUAAAUAUCUAUGUUUUAAAAAAAGAAUUUAGGUUGCAAACUUUAUUCGUGCUUAGAUAUUUCAUCUUUUUUAAAAGAGUAGAGAAGGGAAGAGAUAUUUAGUUAGCAAAUACUUGAGUAAUUCUCAUUUAAUAGGUAGUUCUAGAAGUAGACUAGCUAAUUUUAGGUCAUAGGUUGCUUUGUAUUAUAUGCCUAUAGGUAUUUGAAAGAAACCUGUAUGAAAUUUGGUGGUACAUUGAAAGAUUACCUCCAAUAGUUAAUAACAAAUACUAUCGAUAGUUAUUUAACGAAUUUAUCUACGUGUUUACUCCCCCACAUAUAUAGUAACUCUCAAGAAGGGUUAAACCGAUGUUCUUUUACCUAUUGAUUACACUCUCUAGAUUUAAAUUAACAACCCAUAGUCGAAGUUCAUAAUUUUAACAUGGAAUUAUUUUUAAUUAACCCCAUUUACUUUAUUUGAAUAUUCUUAGCAUUAUAUGCAAAUAUUUAGUCACUUGUGACACUCAAAGGUGAACCUAUACAUCAAUCCUUGUGGACUAGAAUCAAACUCCAUGUUGUAUAAAAUUACAGUGUUGGCAACUACAUACAUCAUGAGGUGUAUCUUGUGAUUUGAUAAGGAUUUAAUAUCAAUACAUCUUUUUUAUUUGUCAAAGGGAAUAUCAAAAUAACAAGGCUAGGGACUCUUGGAGGAUGUAGAAAAACAAGUGCAUUGAGUACCAAAAAUAAAAUCAAACAAGUCAAAGUUAUUGAAGAUAUGCUUAUCAAUAACCAGGCUUUCCAAUUCAUCAAUAUAAAAGAAUGUAUGUUAGCAUAAAAGAGAUGAAUAAAUGAUUUAUAAUCCAUUUUAGUACUGGAAGAGAAGAGAUCUGUCCAUCAUUAAACUUUAAAAAUGGGUUUGAUAGGACAAUGCAGAUUUUACAAUAUAUCGAGAUCCAUAAUUUUAUCAUUAUCAAUAGAUAUUUUCUUGAGAGAGUGAAAGAGAUUUUCAUCAAAGGGCCUCCUAAUAUCAAUUUUGACAUUUAUGAACCUAUCAAAAUCAAACUUCACCUUUCUUAUAAUUCUUUGACUCAUUAGGAUAAGAGGCUUGCAUAAAAGAGAUUUAGUGAACUGUAAGAAUUUGGAGAAAGAUUUUUGAUAGAGAGAUCAAAAUCAAGAGGAAUGAAAGGAAGAUUUUCCUUUCACUUUGAAAUGAGAGCCUUUGUGGUUACCCACGAAGGAAUUUUUAGGGUUUCUAUCAAUAUAUAAAAGAAAAAAGGAGAAGAAUAGUAACAGGAGAAGUAAUUAAGAGAAGAGAAACAUUAGAAAAAUAUAGAAGAGAUGAAACUGUUAAGAGGCACCUAGAGAAUGGGAAAAGGCAUCAUUUGUAGGUACAAUUACUUAUGUAAGUGGGAAAAGAGAGAUAAACACGAGAAGUGCAUCAAUCAUCAAAUAAUCAAAUUAAUUAAAAAUAAUUAAUAAAGGCAAUUAAACAAUCACAAUUAAACAUUAUUGAAGCAUACUCCAAUAAUUAAGUGUGGGUGAUGGAUAAGGAAGUAAAUAAAUUUUAAAUUUUUUUUUUUGAAAAAUUCCUAGAUAUUCUUGUAGAAAAUAAAAUCUUUCUUCCAAUAAGGAUUUUGUAGAAAUAUCUGCUUAUUGAAAUUCAUUACUAGUAAAAGCUAAUGCAAUAUCUCUUUUUAAAAUAUGAUCCCUAAUAAAAUGAUGCUUAAUGUCAAUGUGAUUAGAUUUGGAAUGAUUUAUAGGAUUUUUAGAUAAACAAAUAGCACUGGAAAUACUAUAGAAGGUUUUCAAAGUCUAAACAAAAAUCUCAUAAUUACUGAGUUUGUAAGUCAACCAAAGAAUUUGUGCACUACAUAAUCCAAUGGAGAUGUAUUCAGACUCAGUGGCUAAUAUAGAAACACAAUUUUUCUCUAUUCUAUUCCAAGAGAUGAUAGAAUUUCAUGAGUUUGCAAGUGCCACUAUUAAUUCUUUUAUCAUCUUCGCCAUUUGCAUCCGAAAAGACUUUUAGCUGAAAAUUAUUUAAUUUGGGAUACCAUAGUCCAAAAUAAACAGUUCCUAUAAGAUAUAUAAUAAUGUACUUGAAUGUAGCCAAAUGAGAAUUAUUGGGAGGUGACUAAAAUCUAGCAUACUUACAUAUACCAAAUUAGAAUAACUAGUCGAUUCGAAGUGAGAUAUUACAAAGAGCCAAUUAUGCCAUGAUAUCUACUUUCAUUAAUAGGCUGACCAUCAUCAUCGGAUAACAUGAUACAAUUAAGUCUCAUUAGAGUUUUGGUGGAUUUAGCAUCUUUUAUUCCAUAUAUAUUAAUGAGUUCCUUAUUAUACUUAUAUGAUAUACUGGGGUUCCUUUAGCUGACUAAUGAAUUUGUGGUACCAAAGAGAAAGCCAACUAACCAUCAUACUCAUAUCAAAUUUUCUUUUAAUUAACCUAGAGAAAUCCUUGUAUAAUUCAGCAUCAGCACUUCCCAAAAUAAUAUGAUCAACAUAAAUUUGAAUAAUUACAUCUCCAAAGAAAUUUCAUUUGAUAAAGAGAGUUAUGUCAAUUUUUCUUCAUAUGAAAUCAAGUUCAGCUAAGAAAUUACUUAGUAUAUCAUACCAAGCUCUAGGAGAUUAUUUUAACACAUAGAGAACUUUUGAAAGUUUAAAGACAUAAUAUAGAAAUUUAUGAUUUACAAAACCUUGGGAUACCAGUACAAAGACUUGUGCAUCAGCUAAACCAUUUCAAAAGCACUGUUAACAUAUAUAUGAAAUAAUUUUAACCUUUUGUGAGUCAUAUAGACAAGUAAAGUUUGAAUAGAUUUUACCCUUUGCACUAGUAAAAUAUUUUUUCAUAUCGACUCAAUUAUAUUCUGAGUAGACUUGAACGACUAGACAAUUUUUUUUUAAAGCCACUUGAAUUGAAUCAUCUAUUUUUUUCUAAAUACCUAUUUAUCCCAUUAAUUGAGUUGUUUUUAGGUUUGGAAACCAAUGUCUAUACAUUACUCUUUUCUAACUGCUCAAGUUUUUCUUUAAUAGAAUUGACCCAAGUUACAUCCCCUAAAUAUUCAUUUACCUUCUUUGGUUCAAGUUGAUAUAUAAGUACAACAUUAGUACUUUUAAAACUAGAAUAUCUUGUUUUCAUUACUUCCUUAGGAUCUCUAAUGAUUAAUUUCUAUGGAAAUUUAGGUUAACUCUUCCAUUAAUUUUGAAUGGUUUAUGUCAUAAAUUGAUAAUUUCUAGAAUCAUUUGACUAAUCAAAUUCAAUGGCAGUUGACUUUGAUGUAGAGUUAACUUCAGUAAAGGUUUCUACAGUUUUUCGAAGUUCAUAUUGUGUAGACUUUACUAGAAUUUUUAUAGUCUUGCACUAUUUAUCCUCACCUUUUAUCUUAUUAGAAUUCUGAACAAUGAAAUUAGGAUUAUAAAAAAUAACAUGCAUAGAUUCUUCUAUACAAGGAAAAUGUUUAUUGAGAACUCUAUCGGAUCUAUUUGAAUUACAAUAACCUAUUAAUAUAUCUUCAACACUCUGAGGGUCAAACUUAUCUAUGUUUUUCUUACCAUUAUUAUGAAUGAAGCACUUUCAUCUGAGGAGUGAAAGUAAUGCAUAAUGGGUUUCUUAUUUUUCUAUAAUUCAAUAGUUGUUUUAUUAAAGAUAGGUCUAAUGAUACAUCUAUUAAAGAUAUGGCAAACAAUACUUACAAAAUUCUAACCAUAAUUUAUGGGCAUGAAGUGUUCACAAAUCAUGGUUUGUUCCAUGUCUUGAAGAGCUAUAUCCGUACAUUCUACAAAUCCAAUUGGUUAAGUAGACCUUAGUGCAGAGAAAUUAUGAGUAUAGCCUUAACUAUUACAAAGAGCCUCAAAUUCCUUAUUUUCAAAUACUCCUCCACAAUCACUUCAAAUGGAAAAAUUAUAGUAUUUUUUCUCUUUGAACCUUUUCAUAGAAAACAUUAAGAUUUUUUAAAGUAUCAUAUUUGUUAGACAAAAAACUAACUCGGGUAAAAUAAGAAUAAUAAUCAACAAAAACAAAGGCAUAGCUUUUACCUCCAAUGCUAGAAAUUAUAGUAAGACCAAAGAGUUUCAUGUGACGUAGCAACAAUGGUUUAGAAAUACAGACAAUGUUAUUAACAAGAAAUGAAUUUCUUGUUUGCUUACCAAGUUAACAUGUAUCACAGAUAUGAACUUUUUUUAGUUGAAUUACUAGCUCAUGUUUGUCUAUUUUUUCAAUAAGUCUCAUACUUGUAUGAUCCAGAUUUUUGUUCCAAACCCAUAGAUAUUUAUAUGUAGACCCCAAGAAGAUGUGAUCUUCUAUCUUUUUUAAACUAUCGAGAACUUAUAAAUUUUUGUGCCUAUUUCAAUGAAGAAGAGGUAUUCUAAGCUUUUCAAUAAUACAUUCAUCAAUAUUAAAUUUUACCUCUAAACCAAUGUCACAAAGAUAAUUUUCUUAAUAGAUUGUACUUCACGAUUUUGACAAGAUAAACAUUAGUGAUAUAAUGUGAUUCAUUAAAAGAAAUUGUACCAAUACAUCUGAAUCUAUUUUUGGAAUUGUCACCGAAGCUAUCGUGUCCCCCAUCAUAAUCAACAAGAUAUUUAACUAAAAAAAAUUUCCAUCAUGUUAUAUCAACACCCACUAUGAAGAUACUAUUUCCUUUAGGAUUUGAGUGGUGUUCCUAUAAAAUAAAGAUAUCACUUAUUUUAUGGUACCCAAGUGUUCGUGGGUCCUUGGAGUAAGUGGUUAGAUUGGUGUACUCAAUUUUGUGUCUCCAAAUUCAUUAGCCAUGAUUCUUGACCUAAAUAAGCAAUUGAAUUAUUUAUGACCAAAUUUACCACUUUGAUAAAUUGAAAUGUGAGAAGCUUUCAUAAGUGGUUGAGAAGUUAUAUUAAUUGUUAUAACUAUGAUUGCUACAUAUUGUUAAUAUGUUAGAGUGAGUUGACUGUUGAGACCCUUCACUAUUAUUAAAUCCAUCGAGCACUGUCAGAUUUUUAUCUACUGACCUGCUAGACUUAGUUAACUAAUCGGAUCUUACAAUACUAUGACUGGAAGAUUUUUAAAAGAUAUUGAUUUUUAUUUUUAUUUCAACAAUUUGUUCUUGUAAAAAACCCUUUCAAUUUCACAAACUUUGAUUUUGAUUUCAGAAUCUCAUCUUUCCAUUAAUAAAACUUUUUUCUCUUGACAAGGUUUAUUUAUAUGAGCUAUGGCACAUUCUAAUAGAUUUUUAUAAUUUAAAAAUUUAUUACAAGAUUCAGUACUUACCUAACUAGAUUGACCAAUACCCAUGACAUAGUCAUCUCUAAUGUUGUCAUUUUACUUUUUAUAGUGGUAUUUAUCACUUCGACUAUUGAAAGAUUUUUGAAUUCCUUUAGAGAGUUAUUUCUAUCUUUAAGACAACCAUAAGCGAGGUGGCCAUAGUUUCCACAGUUGUAGCAUUUUCCAUCAUUCCUAUUGUACUCUGUCAUUUUCUUUCCUUUUCGCUAGUUUGGUUUCCCUUUCUUUCAUUUCUAGAUAUUAUGUUGCUAUAAACUAGUGUCCUAGCAAUAAUAGCAAGUUCAUCUUCAUCUAAGGUGUUGUCUUCUUACUUAUUGAAGUUUUAAAAACUACUAUAUUAUACUUAUUAUGAAGUUGAUCUUUCAUUUUCAGAUAAGCCUUUUCAAAGGCAACAAGAUCCCAUCGUAUCCAUCAUAAGUCAUCUUGUUCAAAUUUAUGUUUUCAAGAGCCACAAGUUUAAAGACCCGUUAGCGCGGUAAGAUUUUCAAAAUCCUGGUGAUCUGAUAUUUUAUACUAUGUCUUUCAUGCAGCUUUGAGUUCACUAGUGAUUUUUCCAAAUCUAGCAAAUAUUUCUUCAAUGGUUUCUCCAUAUUUCAUCUUUAAAAUUUUAUAUUCAUAAAUCAAUACACAUACAAGAAUUUUCUUCAUCUUAAUAUUUCCUUCAUAUGUGACUUAUAUAUUGUCUCACAUUUCCUUGGCUAUUUCAUAGCCAUAAAUCUCGUCAUAUUCUUAACCAUUGAUUGCAUUGUGCUGCACAUUCUUUGCCCUUGAGUUAUUUUAAAGGUUUUUAUUUAUUUAUUUGUGAGAUCCUCAAGAUUUGGAAUCUUCUUUAUUUAUGCUUGACCAUUAUCAAAAUUCUUUCCAUCUCUGUUAGCUGGAACAGGUAAAAUAUCUCCAAUAUUGAACAAUUUCCAUACCUUCACAUCAUAAAGGACUUCAUGCAUUUCUAUCCUUAUCUUUCAAUUGGUUAAAUGUUUCCCAUUAAAGUAGGAAGGUUAGAAUUGAUAUAUGCCUUAUGAGAAUCAUGCUCCAAUAGCAUAUUAGGCCUUAGUUGUUUAUCACUUUGUACUUAGGAAACUAAAUAUAGGUCAAGGCUAUGAUUUCAAUUAAAAUUAGCAAGCGAUCACGUUCAACAUAUUUCAUGAUUUAUGGUCAAGGUGAUCGUUGUCAAAUAUUAUAACCCAACUUGAGUUGGGGUUCAAUCCAUGAUGAGUGUAACCAAUAGUAAAAUCCUAGAGGUGUUAAAGGCUACUUAGUGGUAACGCGUAACAUAGAGAAAAAGUAAAACAUAAAUUAAAAUUGUUGGUACAGUUUGAAAGUUUGUUGUAACAAAAUCUACCUAAACUAGAAAUUAAGAGCUACAAUUGUAGAUAAAAUUUCAUUAGGAAAAGAAUCUUGAGAUUAUGUUUCCUAGGGGCAAAUAAUGUAUGGAUAUAUGAGAAUAAAACAAAAACUCUAGUUAAUGACUUCAUGGGUAGGCUAGGUUAGGGGUUUUGGUAUUGGUUUUUCAACCAAAAACCAAAAUUUCACCCAUAGAUCAUUUAGUAUAUCUCUUGGGUGUAGAAAACAAAACAACCAAAACCUCAAGUGGGAAUCCCUCUUUCUAAGAAGAUGCCCAAGAUAGAGAAAACUCUAAAUCCAUCCUUAUUUCAAAGAUAAUGUAAAGGAAUAAUCUAAGAUAUAACUAUUGUUGACCAAUCCCUUGUCACUUUAUCUCUCUUUCAAGUAUUAUAUAUGAUCUAAAAGAAUGCCCAUAACCAUUUUAAAGGAUGAUGUGAUAUUUUUGAUGUUUGAGGCUUUCACCCACAAAUUAUAAUUCAACAAGCAUGUAUUUGGAAAACCUAACAUCAUUAAUCAAGAACCUACUCUAACAAUCAAGAUCUACACAUAUUUUCACCCUAGUCCAACAAAACCCCAAAAUAGAUAUUUAGAUACUCAUGAGGUUUUAGAAAAGAAAUAUUCAAAAAUUGUCAUUCAGUGAAUCCAUUGAAGUGGAAAUGUAAGAAUAUUCUCAAUUCAAACUCAAUUACAACUAAAAUCCUUUGAAAAAUAGCUAUGAGAAGUUUUCUAUUGCACCCAAACACACACAAAAGUGUAUGUGGUCUCGCCAAGUAGUAAAAAGGCCUUUUAGAAGUCAAGUAUUGAUCCCAUAUGGACAUGUGUUGAAAAAUAUCCUAUUCUAGUUGACUGUUGAGAUUAAAGAGGUGGAAUUUGAAAACUAAAGUACAGUAAACAACGUGAAAAAUAAAUUAAUUGGACAAUCACUGAGUAUUAAACCUGGGGUUAAGGUACUACGAUCAAUCAUACUAUGCUAUUGAACUUUAUUAGUUAAGUUACUUAUAUUUGUUGUUGACUCAUGAUAUUAAUUUUAUGAUCAUAGUAUCCCAACCUCUAACCAUCUUUCUAACUUAGACCCACAACUACAUCGUUGAGAAAGAAUGUGAGAACUAUGCUAAAAGUAUUUAUAUUUAACCCCGUAGUAAACCAAGUAAGGUUUCUACGUAUAUCCCUAGCCUAGAUGCUAAUUUAAUUCCCUUAUUUUGUAAAAGAAUAAAAAACCUACACUAUUUACCCCCACGUUUUAUCCUCUUAUUUCCCUUCCCGGGCUCAAAAGACGAAAAGAGGUGUAUUAUAAGGUUAAUUACUAAUUUAAAAAACAAGGAUAAACAAAAUAUGAUAUCAAAUAAAAACAAACUUAAUUCAAAGAAAAAGAAAUCAUGUUCUUGGACUUAACCCCGAGAAGGGGGAUUUAGCCACUAAUUGCAUAACCAUAAACAAGAUGAAUGAAUACAUGAAAUAAUCCAUAAAUAAGCAAAUGUAGAGGAAUAAAAACCUUAAUUGAAGUGUUUUACGGCCCCUAUCCAAGUCUCAAAGACGUCCAAGGUGUAUAACAACAUAUAGAAGAGUCCUAUUUAUAGGACCCAGAUUUAUGCCGUCGAUGGAACAAAGGUUGCGUUGAGAGGGUCAUUUCACCAUUAUAGGGGUCUUGCCAUUGGAAAAUCGAAAGGGAACACUGUUUUGAACCCCAUAUGAAGAUUCCUAUUCAUGAAAUGUUCUGCAACACCCUUUGUAUGGUCCUACACGCGCUGGUGACAUCAACCGUGUCCGUUUUACGUCAAGCCAUGUCUUGUGUUUUCGUUGAUCGAUUCCCAGCCUUGUGUUUUUCUUUAAACUUGAUUUACAACUUUCAUAUAAUUCAUAUGUAAUAAUAAUCAACUUACCAACCAUUAUAUAACAUCAAACACCAUGGAUUAGAGCUUUACACAACACAAAAUCAAGAACGGUGAACUAGAAACUCAAGCUAAGACUAGUCUUACCCACUUUGAUCUUUAACUUAUUGCUUGGCUCAUGAAUUGAUUCAAUUGAACUUCACACACUAUAAAUUAGUUUUUCCACACAUAAUAACACAAUAAUAAACUUAGGAACUCGUUAAACACAUUAGAAUUAGAUAACUUUCCAAAUUUAGUAGGGAUUUUACCAAAAAAAAUAAUUAAAAGGGUUUUCGCCUUAUAGAAAAUUUGAACUAGCUAUGGGAAAUUACAAAACUUCCACUGGACUAUUUUCCUCUCUAUCGCUAUCACUGGUGCUUGAUAAAUAUUGCGGCUCCCUCGAUCGCAUUAAACUAAUCGAGUUCUCUAUGUUGGCAGCAAUUGCAGCUCUCAGACCACAAUUGCAGUAAUUGAGGUCGAUACCAGAUCUUACUUUUCAAACUUUUGGCACUACUUUUCCUAUUUUGUUCUCUUUUAUGCUCACUUCACUUGUUUUCCUGUAUUUACCUAUGAACCUAC
rnacentral:lncRNA from 1 species